rnacentral:lncRNA from 1 species
GUUUUCGUGCAAUCAAUGUACUAUCAACUCAUAGUAACAACUCAUAUCUCUAGGUUUGAAGAAUAUAAGAUAUUAUCGUCUCAUGAUCACUCGUGAUAAAAUCCAUGAAGUGAUUCCAAUGAGCGCGGGUUGAAUCCAAUACUCAGAACUUAUGAGCACUCAUGAGUGUUGUAGCCCUUUGUCCAACACCUUAGACCUCUACAAGCCAACCCAUGACAGUCUUAAUUCAUAUCUACUUCCAACAUAUGACCGACUGUGGAUGGUUUGAAUAACUUAGUCAUUCCGGAAGAAUAACCUAGUUUAUUCGGGAAGUCAAAACAUGCAAAGUGAAACACAAUAAUAAUUGAAUCCAAUAUGGUAUCAAAACUUUGAACAUAAAUAAAACACCUUUUAUUUAUCACCAUAUGAUUACACAUUAUUCAUUGUAUACUGUUUCAGCUAUCAACUUUAUUCUUGAAUUUAAAACAAUAGUUGUCCCAUGCUCCAAGCAUGUACACUAUGUUUUCUUAAACACUAGUCAUGCCACACACCAAGUAUGCAUACUAUGUUUGUCUAUGAUCUUUACUUUGUGAACUAGAUCAAUUGAACAUAACUUCAAUGAUUCUCUUUUCACACUCCCAAAUCCUUACUGCAAAUGCAAGAAUUCCAAAUUCAUGCCAUUUACUGAAAUCUGUUAGAUUCUAAACUUAUAUGCAUUGAUCCUCUUGUAAUGAUUAUGCACAAAGUCAGAAAGACUUGACAACAAUCAUUACAGAGUAUUCCAAAGGAGAUCAGCUCCUUGGAAACAUCCUUCUUGCAUUAAGUUUCCUAAUCUUAAACAGAUUGAAAAUUCUAACUUUGAAACAUUUCCAGAUUCCAUUUUGACUAUCACUUCUGAACAAGAGUUGCCUCCUUACAGAUUAUGUCAAUAUGGUCCUUCCAGAAUUAUCACUAUACUUCCAACUGUCCUUGAGCAACCAAUCUUUGGUAAACCUUAGAUUGUCCUCGACAAUUGUUUAAUCCUUUUAGUCAUAUCCAGUUCUAAACCUUUUCCCUUCUUAAUGCCCCAGGCAUUUGGAAAAUUUUAGAACGGAUGAAUAUAGCACAUGUAAUCGAUCCUAUAUCCGAAGCAUAUGGGACACGAUUCAUGAUGUCUUACAUAAAGACUAAACCAGUCUUUUGCUAUAAUAUUUCCAUUUCAAUUUGCCAAGUUCUCAUAAUUCAGAUUAUGAAAAGGGAUGCCGUAAUCAUAAUCGAAUUUUAGAACGCAAAUAAUGGACCCAUAUACAGAAUUUCCUUAUGUUGAGCCAUUCCAACAUGAAAUUCAUAUAUAUCCUUGACUAAAUGAUUAAAACCUCACGAUCUAAGCUUAUAGAUUUGAGAUGAAGCAUAAUUUCCUCUCCCUUAAUUAUAGCAAAACAACUUUUUCCCAAUUGAAACUUUUGUUUUCUAUAAUUAACAUUGCUAACUUGCAAUACUUAUCAUAAUUAUCAUGCUCCCACUAACAUGAUGAUUAUUAGCAUAACACUUAUGCUCCCACUAGCUUUGACAUGUACUCAGAAAUCAGCUGGACUUCUAGAAAUCAAUACUUCAUUGACUUUCUUACCAAAGUUCAGAUUUCUGAUGCUAGAUUGUUUUGAUAAAACUUUAUCAAAAUCAUACACCUUCCCUUAGAUAGCACACUUGUGUAUCUAAACAAUUAUGAAGAGGGAUGCCGUAAUCAUAAUGUUUAGACCUUUUUGCCACUUCUCACAAGUCCAAAUUAGUGUGCCGGUUAACCACACGCGCUCCACUAACGACUUUGAGAAUGCAAAUAUCACAAUUGCUAUCUAGCUAAAAUCUACUUAGUGAAAGUGUUUCCUCACCAUCAUUUUCAUGAAUCGGAGAGAAACCUUAUGACACUUAGAUUUAAUGGUGUAUGUGUUCUUAUCCAUGUGAAUUGUCAAAACCAUAGUCACAAGACAAGGAUAAUGACAAAUCCAAACUCAUAUGGACUGAACUCAAUCUUAAUUUCUUGCCACCUGGCAGCUCAAGGGCCUACCAUUGCUUCCAAGUUGUUGUGCAACAAAUUGAGAACUCUAAGAACUCAUAUGCAAAGCCAACUUUAACUGGAAUGGGCACAGAAUAUGUCAACACGAUAGGUUAUAAACCUCAAGUCGUGUGCUAGUGAAGAACUUCAGGUUUUAUUCUUGAUUAGUUCUUGAGACUUUCAAGACCUUUAAGACUCCCACUGUCCUCUUGACAUAUAAGACUCCCUUGUCAAACAUCCAAGAGAUAGUGCGGAUUCUAAUCAAGAAAAACACUUUACCCAAUUGGCCUAAGUUGGUCUUUGUUUUAUCCAAAACAUCACAACUUACCAAUUUCAAAUGUACAAGAGUAGAAAACUUUUACUCUUACAUUUGACAAGUGUUUUAAACCUUCUUUAAGACAUGUCACUCAAAUGACAAUCUUGGAGUAUGACUCUAAGACUUGUAUUGGAACGAAGUAUGACUCAUCUUCUUGAUUUAACCAUUUCAACAAUUCAAGUUCCUCUUCUUAGUCAUAAGAAUGCACUAAGAUUUCCUUAGAGAACUAAUUUUGAUAUGGUUUCUUAAUCAUUAAGAUGAUCACAAAACUGAUACUAAAGUACUCUCCCAUCUUUUCAGAUUUGAGAAACUUUUAUCCUUCUGCCUAAUUUGAUUCUUCUUAUUCGCCCUGCCAUACAUUGGAACCUUUUCCAAUGUCUCAGAGUUACACUUAAGCUUGUAAGUAUAAUCAUAUUUACUGAGCUUUAGUAAACUAUGACGAAUAGUCUUAUCAAUCUUUUGUGGUGGACUUAAUCAGUGCACAAGAAUGUGUACUCGAUCCCUUAGUCCUUUACUUGACUCACACAUCCAUGUGGCCGAGUAAUUAGUCUUAAUUUUCCAAAACUUGAAAGUUCUCAUUCAUCAUGCUAUACAACUUGCAUGAUUCCAAGUUCCGGUCCAAUUGAAACUUGGGUGAUGAGAAUCUUUCCUUAUUUGGUAAAUCUAGACAUUACCACAAAUGAAAGAAUCAAUUUCAUAUUUCCACUCUUGCUCUUAAUGGAAUCAUAUAAGCAACAAUUUUUCCUCAAAAGCCAUUGUAAGGAUAUUUUAAAAUAAAUAAAAUCAAAAAAAUUUUCUUUUAUUUUAAAACUUUGCGGAAAAACUUAUCCUUACAAUCCAUAUGAAAACUUGUUGUUAUCUAUUCCUAAGCAAUAUCUCAUAACUCCUAAGAAGUUGCUCAAGAAUCCGAUCUUCAAACUAUGCGAUAGAAAUCCAUCUACGCCAUCAGAUUCAGCAUAUUCUUUCUUUAAGUUUCUUCACUUUUCUUUGAUUCUUAAAACAUCACCAUGUGACCCAGUCACAUCAUGUAUCAGGAAUCUCAGAAUAGAAACUUAACAGAGUUAGAUAGUGGACUUUACCUGAAGUAGAGUCAAACUUAUUGACUUUAACAUCCUUAGGUAAAUUUGGCAGCUUCGCAACCAAUGCCCCUUCCUUUGGCAAUAUAAACAUAUGGACCCUUUGAUAAUGGUACACGAGACUAUCACAGACUUAGCUUUUCUCUUUACCAUUUGGUCAACCGAGUUGACUAUGGCCGAUCCCUUUCCAUUGGGAAGAGAAUGCUUUACUGGAUAUCCAAUGUCAUCAUUGUCAAUGUCCAUAAAGUUUUAGGAAGUUGAUCUUAGCAAAUAGAUAAGAUCAUUAAGGGUCUUGUCAUAGUCUGUUUCAUAGGUGUCCCAAAGGAACUCACUAUGUGACUUAGAAAGUGAUUGAACCACCAACUUUCUCAAGACUUUGACACCCAACUCUCCCGGCUUGUCAAUAUGUGACUACAUCUCCAAGAUGUGAUCACACCUAGACCUUGCCUUGCCAAUAGGGCUUGAGUGACCUUAAACUUUUCAAGAACUUGUGGGUUAGGGAGAAUAAUUGGAGGAGGAGAAAGAAGUAUGAUAUCCAUGGGACAUCAUCUUCAUUAGGAAACCUUGUUUCAAGAGAUUUGGGAAGAUCAUAGGUGUCUAAACCAGACAUCUUUUGGGAGAUAUUCAAGAUAGUUGAUUUAAAGUCCUUAAUAUGACACCCAAUAUGAAAUAUUAAGGCUAGGACCCAACAAACUAUUUUAUAACUUAGAAGAGGUAUGCCGUAAUCCAAGCUAUAAAAUAUUUGAAGGUAGGUGAAUGACGAUUCACCAAUUUCCACCAAGAUAAACGAAAUGUAUUAUUAGGUUUUAAUUGGUUUUGAAACUCCUAGAUCUUUGAGAUUCAUUGAACUGUUCAAAGGCAUGUUUCAAUCUCGAGUGUGCCCUUCAGGUUUUGUGACUGGGAUGCCGAGGAUCACAAAACAAGGUGUGAAGUAACCAUGCAAAUCACUUGGUACCCUUAAUAAAUUACCCCUCAAUCGAUGUGCCGGUUAACCACACACGCUCCAUCGAUACUAUGAUAAAUAUUAAGUCACCCUUUACCUACCUUGUUAAGUCCAAGUUAGUGUGCCGGUUAACCACACACGCUCCACUAACGACUUAGACAAAGUGUAAAGUGUAAUUUCAUGGAUUAGCACCUUAUUCACAUUUUUCCUAAGUAACUAAGAUUGGGUAUUAUUAAGAGUUUAGUUACUUAGUAUUAUCAUUAAUACUUUUAAUGAAGGGAGAAUUCUAGUCCUGUCAAACCCGUUCGGCUAACGACCCUCCACCAGUCAAGCAAGCGGUGGGUGAGAGUGGACACCCAUUAAGUUGCCAUUUUAUAGGCAACAACCUUAUACCCACCUUAUAGACCGGCUUCGUGAAUGAGGCGUACUAGCGGUAAGACUGACUUUACUCUUAUACAUAUAUAUAUUAUUAACUUAUAAUAUUAUAAAGUAUAAGGGUUGAAUUUUAACUUUUAAAAUUCUAAGGGCUAACUUGGAAUUAAAGUAUUCAUAAGUGAAAACUUUACAAAUUCCAAAACUUGAGGGCAAGUUUUGAAACUAUUCAAAACUAAUUAAUUCCAUAACUUAUGUGUUUAAAGUAGUUUUAAUCCAAAAACUCUUCAAGUUCCAUAACUUGAGGACAAGUUAUGGAAGACUUUAAACUAAUAAAAGAAUUAACUUUUCUUUAUUUUAUAACUUAUGGAAUUAAUUAAGGUUACACUUUUUUUUUUUUUAUUUUAUUUUAUUAAAUGAAGAGACUCUUGGUCCUCCAUAACUUGAGGACAAGUUAUGGAGUCAUAAAACCAUUUAAUUAGAACUAGACUCUUCAUUUUUGUAACCUUUGCCAAUUUUUAUGAGUUUUAUGAUUCUUAAAUGUGACUUUUCAUAUAACUUGAGGACAAGUUACAAAAACACAUUUUAGAAUCAAUUCUUAGAUUAAUUUGGAUUAAAACCAACUAUCACAUAAUUUUAUUCAUUAAUCUAAAUUCACUCAUAAAACAAGGUAACACAAAAAACUUUUGGUGAUCCAUAACUUAUUCUUAAGUUAUGGAAUCCUUUAAAACAUUAACACCAAAUUUUGUAACUCCAAAAAAACUUUGAAUCAAUUUUUUUUUUAAAACCUUUUCAUAUCCAUAACUUAUGGAGGUUUCAAAAAAUAAAACUCUUUAGAUCAAACUUUUAAAACUAAUAAAAUAAUCAUAUUAUUUUAUCUUUUAUUAAAUUUGACCUAAUUCAACUCAUAAAGCAAAUUAUUCAAAUUUUACAAAUAAUUAGUUUUUCACAAGAACAAGUAAUUAUCUUAAAAUUUGACAAACUUCAUGUUUUUUUUUUUUUUUUUUUUCAACUUUGAAAAUAAAAUAUUUGCAUCAAUAUAACAGAAAACAACCCGUGGCUCUGAUACCACUGUUGGGUUUUGAGCAUUCUAACACUUCCUAAGUGUACAUGCAACCCUAAAUACCUUGGAUCUAUGUUUUCUCUAUUAUACAUGCAAAUAAGAACUUCCAAGGUAUUAUCCUAAUCUAGCAUACAAAACAAUAACUAUAGCAAGAUAGAAUACAUACCUCUUUGGUGUAGAAAGUCUUCAUGAAGCUUGAGUGCCUAGUGCCCCAAGUGUGACACCUCAAAUGGAAUCACAAUCAUCAAAACACUUAGAAUGACUUGAGAGAAUUCUACACUCAUCAAAAUCGGCUAGCCCUUUCUUCACUAUCUCUAGUGGCCGAUUUUUCCUCAAUAAUAAGAUGCUUAUAUAGUUACACAAUUAGGGUAAACUCUUAAUUGUCAUGGCUUUCCAUUUCCUUGGAUCCAUGGGUACAAAUACACCAUGGAGCAUCCAUGGACCAUCCUAUGGGUUUUAGCCCAACUUGAUUAUCCAUGGAGCAUUAGCCCACUAUACAAGUAUGGAUGAUUUACACAAUCAACCCAUAUAUUUAAUUAGUCUUCUUUUGAUCACUUAAUUAAUCCUAGAUUAAUUCUUGAUCAAUACUAAUUAAAUAAUCUUAUUAUUCUUAUUAUUAAUAUACUAGAACUUAUAAUAUAUUAAUAACCAUAAGUGUCUUAUUUCUCUCAUUAUAGUCUAUCCAAGUGCAUGAUGGUAUGCAACCCAAAUGGACCAUGCCGGGUCGGGUCAAGUCUUACCAAUUAUAGUUAUGGACUUAGACAUUAAUCCAACACCUCUUUCUAAACCUGGAAGUAAACCGGACAUCCCUGUAUGAAACCAUAGAAACCGGGACCCCAUACCGUGCCACAACCCUCCUGAUGUAUAUGUGGGCCAACUUCUCCGUAGAGAUACUCUCCUGAAUUGGAAUAAAAUGUGUGCUCUUGGUCAAUCUAUCAACGAUGACCCAAAUCGAAUCCACUCUGCGUGCUGUCCGAGGCAACUUUAUAAUGAAAUCCAUGGUGAUCUCCUCCCAUUUCUAAACGGGAAUGUCUAACAGCUGCAUCUUUCCGUAAGGCCACUGAUGCUCGACCUUGUCUUUCCUGCAAGUCAAGCCCCUCUCAACAUGCCAAGCUACAUCCCGCUUCAUAUAGGGCCACCGAUAAUCAGGACGGAGGUCUCUAUAUAUCUUCGUCACCCCAGGAUGAAUUAAGAAUGUUGAUAUGUGCGAAUCCUCAAUCAGAACCUGGCGCACACUACCCCAAUAAGAAACCCACACCCUCAGAUGGAGAGUCAAUAAUCCCCAACUAUCAUAAUCAAAGGAAGCCACCUUACCCACUAUGCACACAAUUUUUUAGUGCUCUUCCUUCAUAUCAUCAACCUGAGCCUCUUGAAACUGCUCCAAGAGUGGACUAAUCACUGUCUUCCUCAUAUAGAUAUCCCUGAUCAGAGUCGUGUCCACUUUGCGGCUGAGAGUAUCGGCCACCAUAUUAGCCUUCCCUAGAUGGUAAAUGAUAUCAUAAUCAUAAUACUUCACCACAUCCUACCAUUGGCGCUGCCUCAUGUUCAGAUUCGGCCGAUUUAUCAAAUACCUCAGGCUAUUGUGAUCCAUGUAAAUAGUACAGUGGACCCCAUAGAGGUAUUGUCGCCAAAUCUUGAGGGCACCAUAACCCCCAACUCUAAAUCAUGUGUAGGAUAGUUCGCCUCAUGAGGCUUCAACUGCCUCGAAGUGCAAGCAAUAACGCGGCCCCUCUGCAUAAGAACUGCACCAAAACAAGUGAUCGAUGCAUCACAAUAAACCACAAAGUCUUCAACACCCUCCGGUAGGGUUAAAAUCGGCGACUCUCAUAAUCUCUAUCUCAGGGACUCAAAAGAUGCCUAUUGCUCAGACCCCCAGCAAAAAGUGACAGUCUUAUUCAUCAACCGAGUUAGAGGAACUACUAUCUUGGAGAAAUCUUGAAUGAACCCCCGAUAGUAACCUGCCAACCCAAGGAAACUCUGAAUCUCAGAUGGAGACUUGGAACCUCCCAUCCGAUCACCACAUCAACCUUGGCUAGAUCGACCAUGAUACCAUUCUAGUUGACAAGGUGUCCCAGAAAUUCCACCUUGCGCAACAAAACUCACACUUGGAGAAAUUCGCAUAAAGUCUCUCUCUCUCUCUCUCUCUCUCUCUCUCUCUCUCUCUCUCUUUCUUUCUCCCUCCUUAGAGUCUCCAAUACCUCCCUCAAGUGCUCCUCGUGUAGCUCCUGGGUCUUGGAAUAUACCAGGAUGUCAAAAAUAAAUACCAUCAUAGACCGAACCAUCAUCAACCUGCAUAUGCGGUUUAUAAGCUCCAUGAACGUGGAUGGAGCAUUGGUGAACCUAAAGGGCAUCACCACGAACUCGUAAUGCCCAUAACGAGUCCGGAAGGCCGUCUUCUACACAUCAUCCUCUCUGACCCUCAUCUGAUGAUAACCCCAACGUAUAUCAAUCUUAGAAAACCAAGAUGCACCCUAAAGCUGGUCAAACAAAUCAUCAAUCCUCGGGAGUGGAUAACUUUUAUUCACUGUUAUCUUAUUCAGCUCCCGGUAGUUAAUACAUUUACGAUGCGACCAAUCCUUCUUCUUCACAAAGAAGAUUCGUGCUCCCCAUGGCGAACUGCUCGGUCGAAUGAACCCAUUGUCUAACAGCUCCUGAAAAUGUGUAGACAACUCCUGUAUCUCUGGAGGAGCUAACCGAUAUGGUGCUUUCGCAAUCGAAGCAGCACCCAGAACCAGGUCGCUCCUAAACUCCACCUGCCUCUCCGGAGGCACUCUAGGCAAGUCCUCUGCGAACAUAUCCUGGUAUUAUCGGAAAAUGGCACAUCAUCCACAGUCACCUUGCCCUUCUCCCGGGUAUCCACAACAUCGGCAACAUAUACGAACAACCCUGCUGAGGAUAGCGACUGGCCCUAGUUGCUAAACAUAGAAUCGACCCAUAAUGGGCACUCUCUUCCUGAACCACUAACUCUUCCCCACUUGGGGUUUGGAUGCAUAUCAACUGAUGGUGACAUUUAAUCAGAGCCCCAUUGGGGCUCAACCAGUCCAUCUCUACAAUAACCUUGCUCCCAUGAAAAGGAAUACGAACCCAAUAAAUCAGAUAUUACUUGCUGAACAUCUCAAGAGCACAACCUUGAUGAAACCUUGAUACCCGGACAGAUCGAUCAUCUGUAAUCUCAGCCUCUUGGGGACAAGCUAGCUCCCCCGGAGCUCCAACAAAACUUUUGCUAAUCACAAGUGAUACAAAAGAUCGGGUAGCCUCGGAAUCAAACAAUAUUAAUGCAGAGAUACUGUUCAUGGGGAAAGAUCCUAAAAUAAAACACACAAAUAUAAGCUGAAAAAUAAAAAUAAAUAAAGAGACAAGGAGAAGAUACAUACCCGUCACCACAUCAGGUGCUGUGCGAGCCUCCUUGGCUGUCAAAUGAAACGCUUUGAUUCUCACAACAGGCGCAUCCGUCUUGUCUUGGCGGCCAUCAGUAAUCUGUGGAGUCGCUGGAGCGGGUGCUGCAAUUGGUCUUCCCACUGCUAAGCUUGGCCAGUUGGCCUUUUUAUGGCCCCUAUGAUUAUAGUGGAAGAAAAUCAGGUUAGAUGUAUGGAUGGUGGGGUUAGCAGAAGUGCAAUCCCUACUAAUAUGACCCGUCCUGCCGCAUUUGAAGUAGCCAGAACCACCCAUGUUGCACGUCCCAUCGUACGUCCUGCCGCACUUGCCACAUCGACUCCUGCCCUGCUGGCCUCUCGAUCUCAAAUCAAAAACCUUGGGCCUCUUUCCUGAACCCUAUGAACCCUGAACCUGCUCUAGUUUCCUCUUCCUCUCCAUCUCCAACUCAAUCUCUCUCUCUCUCUCUCUCUCUUUAUCUCUUUCUUUCUUUCUUUCUUUCUUUCUUUCUUUCUUUCUUUCUUUCUUUCUCUCUCUCUCUCUCUCUCUCUCUCUCUCUCCUAGGCCCUCGUUAUCAUAUCAUCCAAUGUCUUGUAAUUGGAUUGGCUCACAAACUGCCGGAUAUCACUCCUCAGCAUAUCAUGGUAUCUCGACUUCUUCAUCUCCUCAUCCACCACAUACUGCAGAACUAACAAUGUCCUUUCAUGGAACAUCGUGGUGAUUUCAACCACCGUAUCAGUAGUCUGGCGGAGAUCCUGAAAUCUCGUCACAAAAUCCUCCGAAAUCAUGGACUCAAUAGCCUCACCUCCCAAGGCAUGUCUUACCUUCUCCCACCAGUCUCGUGUUUUGUCCUUUGGAAGAUGGGAAGCAAGUCUGAUCUUUUCCCGAUCGGGACAACCCCUAGUGCGGAAUGCGUUAGCGUUAUCCGCUAACCAACAUAUGCUCGUGAUUGGGUCCUUUUUCCCAAAGAACUUUCGGGAUCCACAUGCCAGAAACUCACGGAAAGUCAAAGUGUGAGCUCUCAUCAUUGCUACCAUAUUAGAACGAAAUGAGGCAAAAUGCUCCUCUAAAAGCUCCAUGAUACCCUCCUUGAUCAUACCAAAAAUCAAAAAUGUCUUCUUGUGUAUGCUGCAGGUAAUCUCAGACGAAAUGAACUCCCACAUCUUAUCAUCCAACUUUCUAGCUUUAGAACCUGAACUUGAACCCUCACCAGCACUAGAACCACUACCUGGUGUCCCUCGAAGGGUCACCAUACUGAACAUAGACCAUUCAAACCAUCGAGGAGUCUCAUACUCUACAAGCUUCCUGGUAUCAUCGCAACUCUCCUUAACUCGAGUAUCGAUGCUCUGCUUCCAGUAGUACAUGUCCAUACUACCUUCUAUAUGUAUCCGCACAUUCCUCAAGGAUCAUUGUGAAUCCUCCAAGUCACUCCUUAUCCAUACAUACAAUCCUCAACAUGACAAGGCUCCCAUCACUAAUUCUCUUCCUAGGUUUCCUUAGGUCAACCACUACACUAUUCCUCGCCAUCAACUGUAGAAGGAACUCCCCCUAACAUCCUCUAACUAGCUCACGAAUACAAUUAUAUAUCAUCGACAAUAGAUAAUUAUUUGAAUGAAAGGUCUCACACUACAAUGGUUAGAGUCAAACAAGAGCUGCGUAAUAUAGUUAAAACCUAACCUUCUAAAAUUAUGUAGUCUCAACAAUAUAUAACUUAGUAUAUUCGCUUAUUAGUUAGCUGAAGUUAAUGGAAACUCCUAGAAGCACAAAACAAGCAGCAUUCGAGCAUCGCGUAAUCGGAACAAGCAUAACCUAAACAUGUCAUCCUACCACUGACUGAUUAAUACUAGUAUGCAAGUCUACAAGCUCACACAUUUGGCCUAUAACGACAUCUCUCCUAACAUUCUAUCAUGUAAAUCCUAAGCAUAUUCUUAGCCCUAACUAGCAUGUGAUUCACAAAUUCAAAAUCAAAACAUAUAAUAAAACAUGUAUGGGUAUUUUUGGAAACUUAUUUGAGCUCGGUCGAUUGCAUGCACCACACCCUUUCCUUCUAUUAGAAAAACCAUUUAUAAAACAUUUCUUUUGAAAAGUCUACUAAUCCCCCAGUUUAAGUUCAGACACACCCAAUAGUAUGCCUGAAUCCCUCAAACUAAGGCUCUGAUACCAACUUGUAACAUCCCAAAAGUAAAGACCAAAAAAAUUCAAUUUUAUAUUAAUAAAACCAUUAUCCAAACGAAUAUCAUAAAACCAUAGUGAAAUCAAAGUAUGUCAAAAAAACAUCCAAAUACAUCAGAGUCAUGUAAAAUGCAGAACAAUGUGGUGUGUGCAAUGCAGUCAUCCUGAGUUCUUCCCUUUUGAAACAGGAGUACCUCAAACAUAAACUGAAAACUGUAAGCACAAAGCUUAGUGAGUUCCCUAAAAUACCACACACUAUACAUAACAAACACAUAAUGGGCCCUGCCAGCAUCGGACCCCGCUCGGAACAGAUCUGGCGGUAAAUAAUAGGCCCCGCCCGGUAUACAAGCAAACACAUAAACACAUGCAAGAAUCACAAAGAUAAAAAACAUACAAGAUAGUCAUCAUACCCCACCUAGCAUGCGUUCCUGCUCGGUAAACAUAUUAGAAAACAUACAUGUAAAGUCACAAUGAAAACUAGCAUCGUAAUCAUAAUAAACCAUGGGCUAUCAUUGGUGCCUUCGACUCGUCAAGCACAGUGUGGAAACUCACCUCAAGCUGCUAAAUCUCUCAGAUAAAAUAUCGGUUUACUGAUCCGGGAAAUCCCCGCACCAACACCAUCAAAUAAUAUCCAAUUAAUAAUUGCACCUCAACUCAUAUUCAAGAAUCUAAAUUACUUUUCCAACAUCCAAGGUAAAAGACCAUUUUACACUUUCCUUACUUGGCCCAAAAACAAUGCCCAACCCAUUUGCUCAAGAAGCCCAAAUUCCUAAAUGGCAUACCAAACCCCAAUAUGACCCAACUUCCUAAACGGGCCCAAAACCCAUCAUGGCCUAAAUCCAAGAAAGCCCACAGCCUAGCAAUGGCCCAAAUUCAGAAGUCCAAUGGCCCAACAAGGCUCAAACCCUAAAAGUCCAAAAUAUGGUCCGAACCCGUCAAAGUCAACAAAAAUUCAAACUGCUGGGUAUGCUUGGCGUACUCAGACUUACGCUUACAAUACUUCAUCCGGGUUUAGUGCGCACAACGUACGAGCAAGGUACGCCUCGCUUACCCCGCAGACGACCAACCAAACCCAGUAAACACUUCAUCGGUUAAGCAAUUAAGUCAAACUAUCAGAUCUUAUCCAAAAUGGUGACUUAACCCGUAAAGUUGGGAACGUUACUUCCAUGCAUGACUUAAUGCGACCCAAAACUCAAAAAUAACCAUAUUAAGGAUCCUAACACAUGCAUGGACCAAUAUAACUCUUAAAGGUUGCAUUUUUAUGGACAAUGGACAUGUAAGGUGCUAUGAUCUAACAUCUAUGGCUUCUGGAGUAGACCAUAAUCUUAAAUAUGGCUUAAAGGACCCAAAAUGCACAAAUAACACCCUAAGUUGGAUCUAGCAUAAGGUAUAGAGAGAUGGCAAUUAGGUUAUCAAUCUUAAGGUAUAGAGAGAUGGAGGCUAUUCCUAAGGAGGUCCAAGGGUGUUAUAACUUGUUUAAAUAGGAAAUAAACCCCAAAAAUUAGGGUUUUCCUAUGCAUUGUGUACGCCCUAUGUACUUCCACGUAUGUUCAGCGUAUGUGGGUACAUCCGUGAUCCAACCAACGAGCCAGUACGCUGAACGUACUCAUAGAGUACUCCCUGUGUAGUGAGCUUGAGACUAAAAUGAGAGAAAUUUACAUUAAGGGUUAAGAAAGCAACAUACCAAUAAUCUCAAAUGUUACAGACAUGAUAUGGUAUAACAAAAGUACCAUUAUACUGUUGCCGAGUAAUGUAGGAAAUAUAUUAGUUUGUAAAGUUUUUUUUAUGAAAUAAUGAGUUGUGACCAAGUACAAUCGUACUAUUGUGUGUAUUAAUGUCUUUACCCAAAAGACUAUCAUACUAUUAUGCUCACCCAAAGUACUAUAAUACUAUUGUGCCUAGAUGUUUAAGGAAGAAAAGAUGACAAUCACUCCUGAUAAAAGAUCCUUUUAGGAGAUAUCUCUCAAGAUCAUUAUUUUAGAAUUAGAAAGUGAGGAUAACAGGAAUAGGUAAGUGAGUUAUUUGUUUGCUAAAAAAUAUAUAAAAAAAGAUUAUUAUAUUGUGGGUAGAAAACCCUAUGUACUCACCAAGUUUCCCAACCUGACCCACUCGGUUUCUUUGUAUCAAAGGAAGGAAUAUACAGAUAAUGAUAUUCACACACGAUGAAAAAUUCUAGGAAAUAAAAGCCAUAGUAUAAAAGAUAUUUUAAGGCUUGUGAUGUUUAUGUUUAUGCUUAUGAUUCUUGUAUCAGUUUGAUAUCCCAAGUUUUUAAUAAACAAUGAAAAACAUUUCUUUUGAAAUACUUUUUAUGGGACAAAUUCCAUAACUAUAAAUAAACUUUGUUUUAAAAUAAGCAAAAAUAAAAAGGUCUUUUAUGAAUGUGAAAAUGGGGAUGUCACAAGCAUACAUGGAAAAUUUGAUCAUAACUUGAACUCAUUCAAGUUUGAAGUAGUAGAAGACAAUAAUGUUGCGAGGAAGCGACUUUAAUUACUUGAUACAGGGAUUAUCAACUUUAAAGGAGUAAAAUAAUUUGAAGAUUCAAGGUGUUUAUGAUUUGAUUUUAGGAAAAUUUAGGAAGAUUGGUGAAUUAUUUUCUGGUGUUAAGAGGGAUGUUGAUACUUUGUUAUCAACUGUGAAGAAUCAAUUUUCCAUCUUGGUUUACCUUAAUUUAAUCUAUUUUCUUAAAGGUGGAAUAUAAAAUGCAUAUCGAUGAUCUUACUUUUUAAAAUAGUUGUUUUUAUAAAAUUAAUAACAAAUCAGAUCAGAAAAUUAUUUGUAUUUUAUAUACACAUCAUUAAGAAUGAUAACAUAAAAUCAUGUAUUUAAUACAUACAACAACAUCAUUGUGGAACAAUGAGGAAUAGAGGUUAAUUAUCAUAUAUUAGAAUGAAAAAAACGAGUCAAAGAAAUCAAAGGUUUACAAUAUCUUUCACAAUCAGAUGAAACCCUAUGUCAAGUUGGAGUUGCUGCACUAGGGCUCACCAACAUAUCUACUCCGUUAGGCAUUCUCGCAUAUGAAUUAAUCACACAAAACCUUGUAGGAACCCUCCCAGAUAUCUAUCAUUUGAAUAAUAUUCCAAUGGAAUCUUCAUUCUCUAAUAUGCUUUUGUACAAGGUGACUACUUCGUCUAUGAAGAAUCCAUCGUAGAAUAAUAUAUGCCUCCGACGAUCUACUACGCUUCGAUGAUUAACAAGUAGAUUUUAAUGUCAUUAUUGAUUAGGAGUCGAACUCUAAUGGUGAUGACAUAGAGAGAUUAACAAAAACUUGUAGAUCUAUCAUUGGUGGUAGGAUUUGUGGUUAUAUAGAUUUUUUAUUUACCGAUGAUGACUUCAAGAUGUGAGAUUGGGUGAUUGAAAUCCUAGAUAUGAAGUUUAGAGAGAGAGAGAGCGAGAGAGAAAAAGAGAGAUAGAUAGAGAGAGAGUAAUUGAAAGUGUGAGAAUGACCAUAAAGAAGAAAGAGACAUAAAAUUAUUUAUUAAAAACUAUUUUGACUAGUUGCAUCAUAGUUUUUUUUUACCAUAGAUACCCUUGUCAUUUUUUCUAAAAAGUCAAGGCUAUCAUUAAAAUUAUUGAUCUAAUGGUACACCUCUAGUUCUGCAGUUUUCACGAAACUAUGAAUUCACAAAUGAUAAUAUAUAUNNNNNNNNNNNNNNNNNNNNNNNNNNNNNNNNNNNNNNNNNNNNNNNNNNNNNNNNNNAUAUAUACCGGUGAAUCUAGGCUUAUCGGUGUGGAGAUACAUGCCUCCAUUAGAUCAUUAAAAUUAUUGAUCUAAUGGUACACCACUAGUAAUGCAUGCUUGCAAUGGUUUCUUUGGUUGGCCCAUGAAGCAAGGAACAAACGCAAUAUUGGAAACCAGAGUCUUGGAGUGUCACGAACCGCAUGCAAAUUUGGAAUCUAGUUUUUAUUUUUCCUUAAUGCCAGUAGCACUGCAUAUAUGAGAAGUUUUAAAUGAAACACAAAUCCAAAUUAUAAUUUACCCCUUCAAAUGUAACAUACUAAAAAUGAUGAAUUUUUUUUUGUUUUUAAAACCAAAUCAAAAUCCAUAAAUCAUAAAAAUCAUAGUUCAAAAAGUCAUAAUAAAAAAUCAGAGUAUACCAAAAUCAGAUGUCAAAUAAAUAUCGAAGAUGAUGUGCAAAAUCAUGCCUUCCCGUUGCCCCCAUACCUAGAUGUACCUGAAAUCAUAAACCCAAAUUGUAAGGCAAAGAUUAGUGAGCAUCCCCCAAAAUUCUCCACACAACAUAAUACAUNNNNNNNNNNNNNNNNNNNNNNNNNNNNNNNNNNNNNNNNNNNNNNNNNNNNAUAUAUAUAUAUCAACUAGGGAUGACAACGGGGCGGGUAUGGGACGGGUUUUGGUAAUCCCACCCCCGUCCUCGAAUAUGAAAAUCAAUCCCAUCACCGACUGAUUCCCAGCGGGUACCCAUUUACCAAACAUUAUCGGGUAUGUGGGUAUCCCAACGGGGUAACGUGGAUCCCUGUUUAACAUCCAAAUUAAGAAUAAUUUUGAUGCAAUGAGAAUACAAAACCAUUAGACUUAGUGAUGCAAGCAUAAAUUCAUAUCCAAAAUAAUUUUGAUAAUUUACAAAACCAUUAAGAGCAGACAUAUUUGUUCUGAUACAUAAGUGGUUACUAGUGGCAAAAAAACAAUAAAGACACUAGCAUUCAUAAACNUUUAUCAUAAAACCAACAAUAACAACAUAUAACAUACCAAGUUUUAUCUUGUCAUAAAACCAAUAAUAGCAACAUACUUUAUAAAUUAACAUAUAGAACUUCCGAAUAUAACUUCAUAACUAUAUAUCUAUAUAUAUAUAUAUAUAUAUAUAUAUAUAUAUAUAUAUAUAAUCAUAUGAACGGUUUUAGGUAAUGGGUUUCGGUUUCGGUUUUGGUUUCGGGUAAUCAGGACGGGUAUUUUGUUUACCAUCCCCGUAAUCAAACCCACAAAAAUUUUCUAAAAGCAUACCAAACCCAAUCCUGACCCCGGUUAACCGACCCCAAACCCAACGAUAAUAUGUCGGUUUUCGGUUUUCACCAUCGGGUUCGGUCUCUUUUGCCAUCCCUAAUAUCAACAUGCAUGUUGGGUCUAUAGUGAUCAGACUGCAUUGCCCCUGAGCCCACAUCAUAAGUCUGGAUUACCCUUCCGACCCUCAACUUAUGCCUAGAUUGCUCCCAAGCCCACAAAAUAUGUUUGGAUUGCCAUCCUAGACCUCUGCUUAAGUCUGGAUUGCUCCCGAGUUUGUUGGCGUCCAUAUAAAGCAUUAUCGCCUUAACCCAACUUCACUAUAUUAACAUAUGUAACAAAUAUACAUAUAACCAACAAGUACAGUUAAUCAUAUAGAUCUGCCAAUCUAACACAUCACUAGAACAUAGCAAUGUCGUAUAUACCAAAAUACAUAACACAACCUAGUGGGCCAACAUUGAUAUUUGCACUGAUCACUGCUCCAAAUACCGGCUCUACAAAUCACCUAUACAACAAACAAGGACUAAGCGUCACUCUAAUACUCAAAUUACUACAUUUGACCAAAACUCAAACUUGGUCAAUGGUCAAAGGAAAUGGUCAACAAUGAAUGGUCAACAUAUCCACUCUAAAGUCACAUAGCCAGUCGUCACGUCGUGAUCAUCUGUUGGUCACGUCGUGACCUACUAAGAUUAAACAAUAACGAAUGAUCAUUCUCACGUCGUGACACCCAAGUUCUCACGUCGUGAGAAAUGCUCUGGAAAGCUUGAUUAGUAAAGCUCUUAAUCAUUUUAGACAAGCAACCGAAACUUACAGCAUGUCUUAUCUACUUUAGAACAUCAUAAAGAUCGUGGAUUUUUAGGUGUGCAUGGAAAAUACAUGCCUCAAACACAAUCUAGGUCUAAAAUGGUGCAAAAUAGAUCCAAUAUUUAAUGCAAAAGCUAAAAUUUCUAUAAAACAUCAGAUCCAUGACCUUAAUCCAUAAAAGGACACUGGGGAUCCAUAAAGUUGGCAACUUUAUGGAACCCCGACACUCUCACAAGCCAUAACAUGAAGAAAAACCAUGGAAAACCUAGAUCUUGGGAUUUAGAAUCAUAAAGCAAUGAACUUUGAAUAGUCACAAUAGUCCAGAAGGUGAGAAAGGAUGAUGGUGAGGCUUGCAAGCUGAGAUGGAGCACCAAAUGCUCUUCCUCUUUUUCUUCCUUGCUAGAAACCACAAAUAACCUCAAAAUCAACUAUGGAGGGUUACGGUUUCAAGGGGGUGUUAGGAGGUGAUGGAGGGUGAGGGUGGGCUAACCCUAGCCCUCACUUCCUUUAAAUACAUGAUAAAUCCCCAAAAUUAGGGUUUUCCUAGCAAUCGGGUCCAACGCCAUGACCCAUGGUCACAUCAUGAGUUCUAAAGUCAUGCACAUUAUUAAGAGGCCAUGUCACAUCAUACCAUGCAAGUUCUCACGAUGUGUGCUAUGUUUGAACCCAAAAAUUUAGUUUAAUAACUUAACAAAAUUAUUACCUGAACUGGGUGUUACAAUUUUCCAUCACUUGGACUAAUUUUCGUCCUUGAAAUCCCUAGCUUUAAGUAGAUCAAGAUAAUGCUCACUCAUCUCUAACUCGGGUUCCCAUGUCCACUUGGAACCUUCCUAUGCUGCCACUUGACCUUGACCAAAGGUACCACCUUAAUGCACAAUUUCUUCGUCUUUCUAUCUAGAAUAGCCACUGGUCUCUCCAUGUAACUCAUGCAUUCAUCCACUUGAAUGUCAUCAAAAGGAACCACCAUUGAAUCAUGAAUCACACAUUUUUGAAGAUAAGAAACAUAAAAGGUGAUGUGAAUCUGGCUAUGCUCCUCAGGUAGGUCUAAACGGUAGGCCACCUUGCCUACCAUGGCCACUACUCGGAAUGGUCCGAUAAACUGGGGACCCAACUUAUGCAUUUUCCUAAAGCGUAUAAAACCCUUCCAGGGUGAUACCUUUAGUAAUACCAUAUCUCCAACUUGGAACUCCAACUUGGAUCAUCGCCUGUUAGCAUAAGUCUCAUGUUGGUUGUGGGCCGUUUGUAAUCUCUAAUUGAUACGCUAGAUGAUUUCUGUAGUCUGGAGGACCACCUCAGUCCUCUACAUAACCCUAUGACCGACCUCUACCGAGCAACCUGGUGUACGACACUUCCUCCCGUAGAGAAGCUCGUCUGGUGGUGCACUAAUAUUGGAGUGAUAAUUCUUGUUGUAAGAAACGUCUGCUAGGGGAAGGUAGGAAACCUAACUCCCAGUAAAAUCAAUGACACAGUCCCUCAGCAUAUCCUCGAGUGUCUGAAUGGUCCUCUCACUCUAACCGUCAGUCUAAGGGUGAUAAGUCGUGCUGAAAUGCAGUCUAGUACCCAAUUUAUCGUGAAAUCUCUACCAAAACCUAGAGGUGAACUGUUCAGCAUGGUCAGGCAUGAUAGAAACCCGAACACCAUGGUGAGAAGCAAUCUCGCAUACAUACACAUCGGCCAAAGAGCUCUCCCGAAUAGUGAUAAAACGGGCACUCUUGGUCAGACGAUCAACAAUGACCGAAAUAGGGUUAAAUCCCUUGGCUGUCCUCGGUAACUUGUGAUGAAAUCCAUAGGGAUAUGUUCCUAUUUCCGCAUGGUAAUCUCUAAGGGAUCCAACUUUCCAUGCGGCCUCUGGUACUCUUCCUGGACCAUCCGACAUGUCAAGCAUCUCUACAUGUACCAUGCAAUCUCCCGCUUCAUACAUGGCCACGAAUAACAAAGUCUUAAGUCCUAAUACGUCUUUUUGGCUCCAACGUGAAUCGAGAACAUGGAGUUAUGAGCCUCCUCCAAUAAUAUCUGUUGAACCUUACCCAAAAAUGGGACCGAAACCCGACCAAAUAGGGUCAAAAGUAUGCGACUAUCGAUAGAAAAUCUAUCAAUCUCACCUCUAAUCCCCUUAUUCUUCCAAUUUUCCCUAUUGACUCCCUUAGCCUGAGCCUCCCUGAUUAAAUCCAGUGCGAAGUCGAUGGCUUUCCUCAAAUAGUGCUCCCUAUCAAUAGCACUAUCCGCCUUGAGACUCAAGGCGUUGGCCACCACAUUGGCCUUUCUCGGAUGAUAAAGAAUCUCGCAGUCUUAAUCCUUGACCAUGUCAAGCCAUCUGCGUUGUCUCAUGUUCAGAUUCGGAUGAACCAUAAGAUAUCUCAAACUCGCGUGAUCUGUGUAGAUGAUACAUCGUACCCCAUAAAGAUAAUGUCUCCAAAUCUUGAGGGAGAAUACCACUACCCCCAACUCUAAAGCAUACGUAGGAUACCCAGUCUCAUGAGGCUUCCACUGCCUAAGUGCAUAUGCUAUGACUCUGACCCACUGCAUGAGUGCUGACCCUAACAUCCUAAGGGAAAGGGUCAAUAAUAAGGCCUCACAUAACUUCCUCCUCAGAGUCUAAAAUACAGCCUGCUGCUUUGGCCCCCAACAAAAAUCUACACUCCAAUUUUUCGGGAGAGUAAGAGGAACAACAAUCUUGAAGAAAUUCUGAAUGAAUCUUUGAUAAUAACCAACUAACCCUAGAAAACUCUGAAUCUAAGAUUGGGACAUCGAAACCUCCCACUGCAACACUACCUUAAUCUUGGACGGAUCGACCUUAAUCGUAUUUGGAUUGACAAGGUGUCCCAGAAACAUGACCUCUCAUAACCAUAACUCACACUUGGAGAACUUGGUAUAAAGCUUCUCCUGUCUCAGUACUCCAAGUGGCUCUCCGAGAUUCUCCUUGUGCUUCUCCCUGCUCUUGGAGUAGAUCAGGAACGCUGCAGGUCCUCAUACCUGGUUCAUUAGAUCCAUGAAUGCUUCAGGUGCAUUGUGUGACAACCCGAAAUUUGCAUUUUGAACAAACCAUAUCAAGCCAAUAGAAGUUAGAACAGUUGCAGUGAAAUUCCAAACUUUGGGUAUAAGUUUGAGUUUUUCAGGAUUUACACUUAAGGAGAUAUUAGGAGAGUGGAUGCACUAGGGUUUUGUGCAACACUGUUAUUCCAAUACUCUAUGAUAUUAGAGUUCAUUCAGGGAAUAAAAAUAUUUUCUGCCAAAAAUCUCAGGACUAUAUAUAGAAAUCUGAACCAAAUAAUUCAUUAGUUACAUUUCUAAUUAGAGAAAAGCCAAAUUCUCUCUCACGGAUCUUCGGGUUUUUAUCCCAAAUUGUGAGUACUUCGAUCUAGUUAUAUUAUAUAGCUUAGAUUGUGUUUAGAAACAUCAAAACCAUGCCAAAACCCCAAGAUUUGGGAGUUUACCGCCCAAGAACACUUGGGGAGUAAACUCCAUUUUAAGGGCCAAAAGUGUCCCAAUGUCCCUCAAACCCUUGGAACUCAACCUAGGGAUUACCAUUGCAUGUUUAGGACACAAAAUCAAUUUGAAUCAAAGAGUGAAUGUGAGUUCACGGCCAUGGAGGUUCUUGGGCCGUGAACUCCAUGUUUAAUUGCCAAAAUGCCAUAAAAACCCUCCUUAAGCCAAGAGACUAAUUUGGGCAUGUACCUAAAUGAGUUUAGGACUAGCUAACACACUUAGAACACCAAGAGUAAGGUUUUCAUGGCCCAAAAGGCUCUAGGUCCGUGAACUCCAUAAAAUGGUGCCAAAUGGUGCCAUAAACUCUUCUAAAGCCUAGUACAAAAGCCUAGUUUAGUUCCUAGUUAUUUUAGGGAAUUGAAAACACCAUAAACAUCCUCCCAAGGGAGAUUACAACCGUAAUCUCCAAGGGAUAUGGUCCCAGGGUCGUAAACUCCUAAAAGGUGUUAUAUUAUGCCCUAAACUCUUCCACAGACGAAGCCAUUAAGUAGAAAUGCUUAUUAGGUCCUUAUAGAGCAUCAAACAUCAAAUGGACACAUAAGUAUGAGUUCACGGCCACUCAUGAGUUUACGACCGUAAAAUCAUUAAGUAGUAUCUUUAGGUCGUGAACUCCCUUAUGGAGUUUUCCUUGAGCCCUACACACAAUAGCUUCCCCUACAAACACUUAGAUGCAAUCCUAGAGGCUAAUAACACUUGAUAAAGGUGCUUAGCAUGUCUUAGGGUGUAUUGACAUGUUUAUCAGUUGUUUAUAGACUAAUUUGUUACAUAUAUGUGAAAUUAUAUGUUAACUACGAUCAUAGAGUGUGUUCAAGACUUCACUUGACACCUAGCAGUCCUAGCUCUUCAGUUCAUCCGUGUCACCCACAACAGGUGAGUUCAUACCCCUUAACCAAUGAUUUAAAUGUUUUUAAACGUUUUAUGGGGGGAUACAAGUAGAAUCAUGCUAUUUAUUAUAUCAAUCACAUGUGAUUAAUAAGCGGCNUAAGCAAAAUUUAAAUGAUUUGCUACUCAUUAGCCGUUUUACCAAACAGUUUCCUUCAAAUGUUUUUCAUAAAUGUUUUAUAUGUUUAAAAGUCCUUAUUAAACUGUUCAUUUUACUCAAUUACAAUUGUGUUUCAAACAAAUGUUUCUUUAUACUUCAACCCGUUUUAUAGAUUCACAUCAAGUUGAUCUUUUCUUAAAUGAUAUUAUGUUCAAAGGUUUUACAAAACUUAUUUUAUGCUUUUAUAUUAUAAAUUGCAUGCCUCUAUAUGUAUAGUUAUAUAAGUAAUGUUUAAAAGACUUAGGAAGGCUAUCCACCUUGUUUCCUAUUCCUCGAUUUGGAUGUGGUCUGAUAGGAUAUCGGGUACCCGUCCGAAGGUCGUUUAAAUAUUAGUUAUAUAUCAUGUGUACAUAUAUAGUGAUAAAGGUUCUUCCAGUUUAUUCAAUACCCUUGGGGAGCAAGGGUAUACGCCCAUGUUCAUACGUACCAGUUAUAUUACUAGUGAGCUACCAUAGGAAUAGUUUAGGAAGAUACUAGAACUAUUAUUAGAACACGAUAUCAUACAAUGAGUCAGUUCAAUCAUGAGUCAAUACUUGCUUGAUAGAGAGAACGUACGUUACAGCUACCACACACAGAACAUUACAGUACAUUACUAUACUAUUACAUGUAUAUGUUUUACAUGAUUACGCUUACAUGAGUACGUUUACAUAUAUUCGUUUACAUGAGUGCGGUUACAUAUACUUUGAUAGGACAGACAUCAUUAGGUGCUAUAGCAUAGAACAAGUUCAGGAUCUAACAAUACCAAUGAAUCGCAACGCAUUGUGAUAGUUAUAUCGGGUAUACAUGAUCAUAGUAAUGUGGAUGUUCACGGCAUGCAUAUAUGCAUGGGCGUGUAAAGGUCUCAAAAUCCCUUUGACAGGGGAGCGUUUAGCCUGGGAUCUAUCCAUCACAUUAUGCCUUAUCCCUCAAAUAAGGCAAUAAGAGUAUAGAGGCAGUCACUUAUUACAAAUACUGCAGUACUUACGAGAUUACCCUAGACUUAAGGUAAUUAGUACGGUCGUAGUUCGACACUACACCAUAGUACUAUUUCAUUUUCCCAUUACAUUCACUUCGUGAACAUUCACACGACGCACGGUAAUGUAGAAACUAUAUUUUUGGUUAAUGAUAGUCAGACUUGGGAAAAUACACACUCUCACAAAAGACACACACAUAGACACUAGAUGUCUUGGUAGAAGGCUACAUAUAGAUCAGUUAAGUCUUGGUAGAAGACUCCCUGUUAUAAUAGUAGGAAUCAUAGGUAUUUCUAGGGUUUCUCAAACAUUUACAGUUGUUCUACAAACAUUUCAAAACAAUGUCAAAUCUUUAAUUACAAGUUUUACAAAUUUAGACACUAAAAUACUUAUGAUCUCACCAGGUUCAAAGCUGAUACUCGCUUUCAAAAUUACUUGUAUCCUCAGGUCAACCAUAGACAGGUACCAAUGCAAGGUUUAGAGAAGAUGGUGCUCGUUCAAGACUCUUCUUUCAUUUUGAUUUAUACUGUAGUGUCUAUUAUAAUUUGACAGAACACACUUGUAUUAAAAUUAUAUUAUUAAUGCAAUGGAUGAUGUUGUUGCUUGUUUACUACUUUUCAUUGUUGUGAUACUGUACAUGACGUCCUCCUCCCCAGAACGUUUCUGCCGUUCAAUGGUUUUGGGGUGUGACAGAUUUGUAUCAGAGCAUUGUUUAUAGUGAAUUAAAUAAAUCAACCCAUAAAAGAUAUACUAACUAUAAAUACAUAAGGGAUUAAAAAUACUCUGACCAAGAGUUUAUACUUUAAAUAAUAAAAUAUUUAAUUAAGUAUAUGUGUUGCAUUCAUACUAAAAUCAGUGUCACUACGACAAUACAAAAGAAUUACAAUUUUUGGGCAACACAGGUGGACUUAGAGACAUAUGGUCAAAACUGGGAAGAUAUAGUCUGAUCACCUAUAUUAUCCGAGGGUUGACUAGAAUGUGCCUAAGUGUAGUUGUGUGGUUGCAACAAGUCUAAAAUCUUACCAACCCUACCACAAUGAGAACAAUAGAACAUAACAUUAAACUUAAAAUACUAUAGGAGUAUUUGGUGUUACUAUAAGUACGUUAUACUUGAGAACUAAAACGGGAUCUUCAUUACUAAGUUGAUAGUUGCUAAGUGGAUACACUAAGGAUAUAUGUAAUUAGGAUGUUAUAGACUUAGAAUCUGUGAAAUUUUACUUCACCCCGAUUCUGUGUGAAUUUGGAGUUAAGGUCACAUAUUCGAAGGCCUAUCCUGUUUCGAUUACAUAUAACUGGUAUGCACUUCACAAAUAGCGAUGUAACUGAUGAAGGUUUUCUAAAUAAUUAUCUAGAUAGUUCGUCUAAUAAUUAUUUUCUUACCCCAAUUCUCGCAUAGAUAACAUGGCUGGACUCCAUCCCCACGGCAACCAGUACCUCCCGAAUGAGGUCAUUGCUGGAUGGUUUGGAGAAGAACCAGAUAAUGAUCAUCCGAUCCCUUUGAAUGAUCACCAUGAUGAAGACCUUUCAGAUGAUGCUAAUUCCGAACCAGAGGUUGAGAACCUACCCCAAGCAGCUCCCUUUCCAAUUCCUAGCCCCCGUCCGGCUUUUCAUGGCCCAACGCCUGAGUGGGUGGAAUGCUUGGAAACAUGGAGCCAAGGACAUGAUCAGCCCAUGCCAUUUAAUGGUGACCGAAGCUUUUAUGACCUAAGCAAUGGGGGCUCAGCAGACAGAACCUUUCUAAUCUUGGCCCGCAGAGUGGCCCGAAAUGAGAUUCAAGGCAGGAGAGCCCUACAUCAGAUUACCGAAGUUGUCGCUGAUGUGAGAAUGCAUACCCUUCGCACCAUUCGUCUAGAAGAUGCUCGCGAGAGAUAUGAGAGAAACCAUGAAACCCUACUGCAAGCAUUGGCUGAAUCACGAGCCGAAGUCAUAGAGCUCUGAGUACGCCAGAGGGUAUACGAAAGACACCUACUUGAUGUGGAACGUCAACUGGCUGAAUUGAGAGUUCAUCAGAGGGAUGAUCGUCGCCAGUAGUAGAUGUUUUACUUUAUUGUCCUUGUUAGAAGGAAUCGUUUUUCUGUCUUUGCCCGAUGUGGCAUUUUCUAUGAAAUUAUCUUGUACUGUAAGUACUUUAGGUUAGGUCUUUAUGUUGUCAAGAACUAUCUUCUCUGGAUAUGAUGUAAGACCUUUACAAGGUCAUUUUCCCGAAAUUUUACGUCGUGAAUAUCAAAGAUAUUGACGGUCGGCUAACUUCUGUGUCAUUCUUUAUUCAAGUACUCUUAUGAUACUUUCAUAAGAGUCUAUCUGAAACAUGCUUUAGUCAAGUCAUUGGACUAUAGCAAGUUAGAUCCGGAGACAUUUCCAAGUCUCUUUUAGUGGUUGGAUCCUGUUAUUCACCAACCAACGAUACCUCAGCUUGAACGACAAAUGUCUUAAGACCAUUCUACGAACUUACUUCCACCCGUUACUAGGACUGCAUCAUAGGGAUGUAGGUCAACCCUUCAUAAGCACACCUCCACUCAGUACUAGGACUGCAUCAUAGAGAUGUAGGUCAAACCUUCAUGAACAUACUUCCAUUCACUUCUAGGACUGUAUCAUAGGGAUGUAGGUCAAACUUUCGAGAACAUACUCUUACCCUUUUCUUGAGCAAUAGCAGUACAUCUAGGGUCAACCAGAAUCGCUCACAGAAUCCUUAUCUUUCAUGCUAUAAGAACCAUGUCGCCAACAAUCAGCUUCAUACGUACAUCUCUUUCUUUGAGAUCGCCUUUCUAGCGAAGCCUUCAUAUCAGAACACCGAAGUACUCAUGCAUGGAGUACCUCAUAGUUCUUUUCUUUCUGAAGAAAUCGCCGAAGUACCACCCGUGCAGUACGUCAAGUUUAAUCCAAGGAUUCAUGCGGUUCAUCUAUCAUUGAGGAGUGUAUACAUAAGAGUGAUAUAUAAUCAAGGUUCUACAGGUUUAGAAUUGAUGAUUCCAGUUUAACUUCUUUUUCCUCGAUGGGAUGUGAGCCUAAAGAGGAAUCAGUUAUCUGACUACCUUUUCAAUCCUAAUUAUAUACGACUCGUAUACACGAGACUGUGAUUGUGAAACCAUGUAUGAAUUCUAAUGUGAACUUCAGGAUGGAGAACUGCCUAAGUAUACGAGUAAUCGCAUCGUCAUGUGAACCAACUUAGAACCCAGUAUGACUCCCGUAAACGGAUUGCCCUACAAUCUAAACACUCCGGAGAUACAAGAACAGUACAGACAACUUGGCAAACUACACAGAAAACCCAGUCAUAUUCUACCAGAGAUCGACGGAUUGCAUCGUAUGUACCUCGGAUAUCGAGGACUCCGUUAAGAUUUUCCAGUAGAAAUCGUUAUCUCUGCCUCGCAUAGAUAAAUUGGUUGAGUAAAUGCGAGGAAAGUGUUACUUUCAGAAAUGGAAAUGUGAUCUGAAUAUCACCAGUUCGAGUGUUAGGGAAGGAUGACCGGAAGACUAUCUUCCAAACUCGAAGUGGACACUUUGAGUCCGUAGUGAUACCCUUCGGAUAGGACCAAUACGCCCAUAGUUUUCAUGAGCUAAAUGAGUAGGGUACGUCUUUCUUACUUGGAUCAGUUCGUCAUUUCUCCAUGUAAUGACUUACUAAUCUACCCUCGUAGUAAGAAGAAACCCACGGAAACAUCACCCUCAGAGAUACUUUUCGCAAAGUUCUCUGAACUCGAGUUUUAGAAUUGAAGAGUCAAAAUUUCCUAAGACACACUAUUAGUGAUGUGGAAAUUCUUGAGUACUCUGGAAAUUGAUCCGAAACCGUUGGGAAUUGGUCGGCACUAGAGACGCCGACAAACAUUCGCCAAAUUCCAGGUCUUACAGACCUACUGUUAUAGUUCAUCCAGAACCCUUCGCAAAUCACAAAAAACCGUAAGACUUUGACCCAGCAAGGGGUGGCCUUUGACUGGGAAGUUAUGCAAGAGAAAGAACCUUUGGAAUUCCAAGUGAGAAACCAAGUUCUUUAGGAAAACUCAUUCUGGGAAUGGCUUAAUACGCUUCGUAAAGCGUGGGAAGCUAAAUCCAAAAUAGAUAGGACCUCCGAGAUUCUUACUAGAAUCGGUCUUGUGCCUCGCACAAACUAGACCUACUCUACGAACUCAGUAACGUACAUUCUACUCUUAGCGUCUCGAUCGUGAAACCAUACCUUUCCGUUAGGACUCUUGUAAGUCCACUCGUCGAGAUCCUCGCCUUCGUAUUACAACUGUAGUGACCCUCGACCGAGAGGUCAAGCGGACGAAGCAACGUUGUCGCCUAUUAGUGAAGGUUCGUUGGGAUGCCAACUGAGAACCCGAUUUCACUUAGGAGCGCUAGAACCAAUCGAUUAAGAAGUUUACUCCUCACGACUCGAUCAUUCGUACCUACUACCUUACCUAAAUUCAAAUUUCGGGACGAAAUUCCCUUCAACAGGGGGAUGAUGUGACAACCCGAAAUUUCCAUUCUGAACAAAUCAUAUCAAUCCAAUAGAAGUUAGAACAGUUACAGUGAAAUUCCAAACAUUGGGUAUAAGUUUGAGUUUUUUAGGAUUUACACUUAUGGUGAUAUCAGGAGAGUGGAUGCACUAGGGUUUUGUGCAACACUGUUAUUCUAAUACUCUAGGAUAUUAGAGUUCAUUCCGGGAAUAAAAAUAUUUUCUGCCAAAAAUCCCAGGACUAUAUAUAGAAAUCUGAACCAAAUAAUUCAUUAGUUACAUUUCCAAUUAGAGAAAAGACAAAUUCUUGGGCCGUGAAUUCCAUCUUUAAUUGCCAAAAUGCCCUAAAAACCCUCCUUAAGCCAAGAGACUAAUUUGGGCAUGUACCUAAAUGAGCUUAGGACUAGCUAACACACUUAGAACACCAUGAGUAAGGUGUUCACGGCCCAAAAGGUUCUAGGGCCAUGAAUUCCAUAAAAUGGUGCCAUAAACUCUUCUAAAGCCUAGUACAAAAGCCUAGUUUAGUUCCUUGUUAAUUUAGGGACUUGAAAACACUAUAAACAUCCUCCCAAGGGAGAUUACGGCCGUAAUCUCCAAGGGAUAUGUUCCCAGGGCCGUAAACUCCUAAAAGGUGUUAUAUUAUGCCCUAAACUCUUCCAUAGACCAAGCCAUUAAGUAGAAAUGCUUAUUAGGGCCUUAUAGAGCAUCAAACAUCAAAUGGACACAUAAGUAUGAGUUCACGGCCGUAAACUCAUGAGUUUACGACCGUAAACUCAUUNNNNNNNNNNNNNNNNNNNNNNNNNNNNNNNNNNNNNNNNNNNNNNNNNNNNNNNNNNNNNNNNNNNNNNNNNNNNNNNNNNNNNNNNNNNNNNNNNNNNNNNNNNNNNNNNNNNNNNNNNNNNNNNNNNNNNNNNNNNNNNNNNNNNNNNNNNNNNNNNNNNNNNNNNNNNNNNNNNNNNNNNNNNNNNNNNNNNNNNNNNNNNNNNNNNNNNNNNNNNNNNNNNNNNNNNNNNNNNNNNNNNNNNNNNNNNNNNNNNNNNNNNNNNGGGGGGGGGGGGGACACAAGUAGAAUCAUUCUAGUUAUUAUAUCAAUCACAUGUGAUUAAUAAGCAGCAUUUAAAUACUCAUUAGCCGUUUUACCAAACAGUUUCCUUCAAAUGUUUUUCAUAAACGUUUUAUAUGUUUAAAAGUCCUUAUUAAAUUGUUCAUUUUACUCUGUAUGUUUCAUUUCAAUCUCAAUUACAAUUGUGUUUCAAACAAAUGUUUCUUUAUACUUAAACUGUUUUAUCAAACCCAUACUUUCUACCCGUUUUAUAGAUUGACAUCAAGUCGAUCUUUUCUUAGAUGAUAAUUAUGUUCAAAGGUUUUACAAAACUUAUUUUAUGCUUUUAUAUUAUAAAUUGCAUGCCUCUAUAUGUAUAGUUAUAUAAAUAAUGUUUAAAAGACUUAGGAAGGCUAUCCACCUUUUUUCCUUUUCCACGAUUUGGAUGUGGUCUGAUAGGAUAUCGGGUACCCGUCCGAAGGUCGUUUAAAUGUUAUUUAUAUAUCAUAUAUACAUAUAUAUAGUCAAAAAGGUUCUUCCAGUUCAUUCAAUACCCGUGGGUAGCAAGGGUAUACGCCCAUGUUCAUACGUACCAGUUAUAUUACUAGUAAGCUACCAUAGGGGUAGUUUAGGAAGAUACUAGAACUAUUAUUAGAACACGAUAUCAUACAAAGACUCAGUUCAUUCAUGAGUCAAUAUUUGCUAGAUAGAGAGAACAUACGUUACAGCUAGCACACACAGAACAUUACAGUACAUUACUAUACUAUUACAUAGAUAUGUUUUACAUGAUUACGCUUACAUGAGUACGUUUACAUAUAUUCGUUUACAUGAGUGCGGUUACAUAUACUUUGAUAAGACAGACAUCAUUAGGUGCUAUAGCAUAGAACAAGUUCAGGAUCUAACUAUACCGAUGAAUCGCAACGCAUUGUGAUAGUUAUAUCGGGUAUACAUGAUCAUAGUAAUGUGGAUGUUAACGACAUGCAUAUAUGCAUGGGCGUGUACAGGUCUCAAAAUCCCUUUGACAGGGGAGCGUUUAGCCUGUGAUCUAGCCAUCACAUUAUGCCUUAUCCCUCAAAUAAGGCAAUAAGAGUAUAGAGGCAGUCACUUAUUACAAAUACUGCAGUACUUACAAAAUUACCCUAGACUUAAGGUAAUUAGUACGGUCUUAGUUCGACACUACACCAUAGUACUAUUUCAUUUUCCCAUUACAUUCACUUCGUGAACAUUCACACGACGCACGGUAAUAUAGAAACUAUAUUUUUGGUUAAUGAUAGUCAGACUUGGGAAAAUACACACUCUCACAAGAGACACACACACAGAUACUAGAUGCCUUGGUAGAAGGCUACAUAUAGAUCAGUUAAGUCUUUGUAGAAGACUCCCUGUUAUAAUAGUAGGAAUCAUAGGGAUUUCUAGGGUUUCUCAAACGUUUACAGUUGUUCUACAAACAUUUUCAUACUUAUACGAGCUUUCUUUUAAAACAAUGCCAAGUAUUUAAUUAGAAGUUUUACAAAUUAAGACACUAAAAUACUUAUGAUCUCACCAGCUUCAAAACUGAUACUCGCUUUCAAAAUUACUUGUAUCCUCAGGUCAACCAUAGACAGGUACCGAUGCAAGUUUUAGAGAAGAUGGUGCUCGUUCAAGACUCUUCUUUCAUUUUGAUUUAUACUGUAGUGUCUAUUAUAAUUUGACAGAACACACUUGUAUUGAAAUUAUAUUAUUAAUGCAAUGAAUGAUGUUGUUUCUUGAUUACUACUUUUCAUUGUUGUGAUACUGUAAAUGAUGUCCUCCGCCCCAGAACGUUUCUGCCGUUCAAUGGUUUUGGGGUGUGAUAGAUUGGUGAGGCCAAACGGCAUCACCAUGAACUCAUAAUGACCAUAGCGAGUCUGGAACAUUGCCUUAUCCACUUCCUAUUCCCUACUCUUAUCUGGUGGUAACCCGAGCAUAGAUCAAUCUUGGAGAAGCAUGAUACGCUCUGCAAUUGAUCGAAUAGAUCAUCAAUCCUAAGGAGUGGGUAAUGGUUCUUCACUUGCAACUUGUUCAACUCCCGAUAAUCUAUGCACAUUCGAUGAGACCCAUACUUCUUCUUCAAAAAUAGAAUUGGUGCUCCCCAGAAUGAAAUGCUUGAUUGGAUAUACUGCCUGCCCAACAGCACCUAAAGUUGAGAGGAAAAGUCAUGCAUCUCUGGUGGUGUAAGGCGAUACGACGCCUUAGUAAUUGGUGCCGCACUAGGAAUGAGAUCAAUCCUAACCUCCACCAUCCUCACUGGAUUCACACUGGGUAAACUCAACAGAAAAACAUCUGGAAACUCUCUGACUGAUGGCACAUCUGAAACCAAAACUCUCUUCUCAUCUUGAGUAUCAACCACAUAAGGGAGAUAACCCAAACACCCAUGUUGUAGAUACAGUUGAGCUCUAGCAGCUGAAAAAAAGGACAAACUAACCCUGGUACCCUCUCCAUAAAUAGUCACUCUUCCCCCACUUCGGGUUCGAACCACCACCAAUUGCCUCUCACAAUCGCAGAUCUGGGUAGACACAAACUCCCAAAUCUCCUUCUUGAGCAUGCUAAAGUAGUGGGACAUCUGAACCUGCUCCAAAGCAGCAUACUUGGGGCAUAAAAGUGCGCUCUCCAUGAACAUCAUGGUGAUCUCCGCCACUGACUCUAUUGUGUGCUUCGACGGCAGAUACUCCUGAGACAAACUCUCCCUUUCAACCACAGGAACAUACUCGGCAUGAAACAAAUCGAUAAAUUGCUCCCAAGUCAUUGCGGCCUUCUCUACAGGAGAAUAAGCAUUGGUCACUAGCUUCCACCGAUCCUUCACCCCUAAACGAAGAAGGUUUAAGGAAAACUUGACCUUCUGGUCCUCUGGGAACAGGCAAGUGAAAAACAUCCCUCUACAUCAGAUAGCGACCACAUGGAAACUAUCAGGUCCAUGACCCCGUGGAACUCCUUGGGCUUCGUGUUGCUGAAGUCCCGCUACUGAACCGUCCCUCUCCCCCGGAGUCUGACAACAACAACUGUUGUAAUGGCUGCAAUAGCAACAACCUCAGACACAACGACGUAUCACUCAUCGAAAAGCUCAAUCAUCACCGUCUUAAUAGAUCCAAAUACCUCCUGGAUUUCCUCCUUAAUAACCAUGGUCACCUGAGUGGUGAUCAUCUCAUGAAUGUUAUCGUCAGUCAAUCGUGGUGAUCAUCUCAUGAAUGUUAUCAAAAAAAGAUUCAUAAUCCAAACUACUAUAUUAUCUUAGAACUACUCAAACCUCAGGGUUCAUGACUUCCUCGAUACCCAUACGACUCCUACGCUUCCAGUAGUACGGACCCAUACUACCUUUCACACCUACCCGUAUUUGUCUGACGGGGUCGUUAUAGAGCACCAUCCUCCAAUUCCAUGAAUGAUCGAGAGCCCUAAAAUACCAUUGAAGUCAACCCCACCAGUGUGAACUCGGAUUAUAGUAGGCAUGAAACAAGGAUCCCUAAAAUCAAAAAACAAGAAGACAAAUAAAAAACAAAUAAAGAAUAAGGGGAGAUCGAAGAACAAGAGAAGAAUGGGGAUCAAGAUUAAUAAUGUAAUGGUCUAUUGUACUCCGGAAAUAGAUCAACCUUCAAAUAACAUCACAAGUAGAAUAAAAUUGAUCGACUUGGUUGUAUAGCUAGUUAACAAGGUGACGUGUUCAGGGGUCUUCGUUGCAUCUUUGACUUAUCUGCCAUCUCCACCAACACAUCUACUUAUCAAUAUCUGCAUUUUUAUCAUCAAGUUUUCAAAGACCCCUCAAAAUUUUUUGAUUUCAUGUUUUAGGGAUUUAAUCAGCAGUUUUGAUUUCGAUUUAGGUUUUGAUUUUAGGUUAUUUUGCUAUCAGGAUUUAAUUUUUGUUUUCUUUUGAUCAUUGGUUUCAAGUUCGAUUUUCAUUUUAGUUUUAGUUUUGAUUUUGGUUUCAAGUUUAGGCAAAGAAGUCACAAUGGUUUGAUUUUAGGUGGGCAUGAGAGGAAUUCCAGUCGGAGAAGACAUAAGUGAUGAAACUGAACUGUAAACAUGAAAUCUGUUUUGAUAUCGUUUCUGAUUUUGAUGUGGUAUUCUUUUGAUUGUGUUUUUGAUGUGGUGUUCUAAUUCUGGCAAGGGAGGAUGAGAUGACAAGUCGGUCAAAGAAGCAUGGACAGAAGGAAAUGGAUCAUGUGGGAUAGUUCAACCUAAGCAUAGAAUAGAUGUACGAACAGGUCGCGUGGGGUGGGGGAAUGACCCAUUGCAUUUUAAUAGUUAGACAAAACUACAAAAUGGUCCCUGUGGUUUAACAAAUGUCAUAAACUCAGUCCCUGCUAUAAUUUUUGAGAACAUGGUCCCAUUGGUUUACAAAACUUGCAUGAAUGACCUUUUUAUUGACGUCGUUACUGUUCAUCAGUUAUUGUAAUGGUAUUUCGGUCUUUUCAAGUAGAAGAGACUGAGUUUGUGACUCUGGGUAAACUAUAUGGACCAUUUAUGUAAUUAUUUUUUUAGAUUAUAUGUUUAUGAGUUUGUGGCUCCAUUUACUUUUUAAAAUAUCACUACGAACCCUUCAAUUUGAACUUUGAAAAAUCUUAUUUUAACCCCUCUAUUUUCUAAAUUUUCGUGUUUAACCCCGUAUUAUAUAUAAUUUGAUUUUAUUAAUAAUUUCCGUUCGUUAACUUAAAAAAAACUAUUUUUACGUAUUUAUUUUAAUAUAUUUGUCAAUAUAAUUUAAGGUGACCAACGUUUCUUGUUUAAUUUAGAACUUUCUUUCAUUAAAUUGUUUUUUUAAUAUAUGGUUUUCUUUAAUAUAAAAUUGACAGUUAAAAAUUAAAAGUUAAAAGACUAAUGUUUAAGUGAACCUAAACCAUUGGACUAUUGAUAUAAUUUACUCUUGUUUUGUAUCAUUGCCAAAAUGUGUAUAUGGACAAAGAAAAACCGAAUCUGACGAUCUAAAUUCAGAUUAUUAUUUUCUUGUCGAUUUUGUUUUGUAUAUUGGCUUCAAUUCUAUGCAUUGACCAAACCAAGUUUUGGGAGAUGGCCUAUAAAUAACACAAAUUUUGAAUACAUCCUACCUCUCUAAAAAGACGAACACAUUUCUUUAAGGAUACAGACCUUACGUAUUAGGCCGUGUCACCAUCCUAGUAUAUGACCCACCGACGUUUGUGAAUUCCAUGAAUUAAAAUGUAUUAUAUGAUAAUGUAUUUUGGAUGUCAUGCCAUUAAAUAAGCAAACAAGCAUUUAAAAUAUAGAUAAAUGCAAUAAAAUGUACCAAUAUUUUAUUUUUUUUAUUUUGCUAUCGUGUUUUUCUGAUACAAUUAAGUCAUAAUGUCUUUAGUUUGUUGCAAUUCUGACUAGUUGACCAAUUUGUUUCAAGUAAUUUCGUUAUCGUUGAUGACCCGUCAGAUAUGAAAAAAAUGGCAAAAAAGACACCGUAAUUUAUUUAUAUUUAUAUUUAUUUAUUUAUUUAUUUUUACGAUUUGAAUAAUAAAUUCUCUUAUCUUUUCCAAUUUUGAUUGUAAGUUUUCAAUUUUCUUCAAUUGCAACAUAAAUCAUAUGCAAAUACAACUUAGUUAUGAUCUUGUUUUCUCAAAUUGAAAGUUGAUUUCCAUACUCACAAACUCUUGGUAAAUUAAAUAGCUAUUUUCUUGCAGUUAAAUCAUUUUAAAAUGGAACCCAAAACAUUGACCACAUACAUAAAGCAAAAGAAAUAAACAUCCUAACCUAUAAGAAGUUCAACCAACAGCAUCCAUAUAUAUUAGUCUUCAUGACUUCUAAUUGCCCAUGGCACGUCAACGAGGCCAAUUGGCAGCACAAAUAUCUCAGAUGUUUCAUUUUGUUUUGCAUCUUUUUCUUUUCUAAUUCUUAUUUGCUUUAUCAUGGAAAAGACAAAGAGAAAUGUCGGUAACUUAUUUUCGUAUAACCCACAUGGUAAUUUUGAAGCUUUAGCCACCAUUUUGCAUCUUGAUGAACACAUCAGUUGCAAUCAAGGAAACAUUUCCAAUCAGGAGGUAUUACGGACCAUUGGAUUAUACUAAUGUAAAAGGUACAUUGUGGGCCACUUACUGGUACUUGCUCUGAUAAAAUUCGCAUAUGAGCAAAAGUAACAAUAACAUAUACAAAGUUAUACUACAUGUACAAACUAAAAAGCAUGAAAGGUAUAGUAUAAAGCCUGACCAAAAUAGUUACAAAGGACCACAAAAAUUCAUAAAAACACAGCCACAACAACUUCAAUGAACAUCAAAGGAAGAACAUGGAUAGUUUAGAUAUUAAUUUUACUGGACAUUGUUUUUACUAGGUGUUAAUCGUGACACUUAAUAGUUAAUAGGAAUAUAUGUGUAGAAAGUUUAUUAGUUGGUACAUAAGAAAUCCUUUUAUCAACAAAAUGUAGCUUAAUCACAACCACACCCAUGGGUGAAGAAUAGAAUCAUUAUCUAUCUUUGAUUUCCAUAAUCAGAAACUCUGCCCCUGACACAAUAGAAUCAUUAUCUAUCUUUGGUGUUUACGCUGAGGAUACAAAUCCAUGAUUGUGCAUCUACUUUAGACUAUGCAUAUGGACCUUGAUUAUCUUCUAAAUUUUCAUUCCAAUAAAAUCUUGCAAGUUGCAAUAGUUGCAAACACUUUAAUAUUUCCAAACCACAUGGAACAUACAUUAGUAAGUAAUUCUUGAACAUCAACCACACGAAGGAAUCUAACUAAAUCAAAUAAAUUACAUAUCUUAGUCGUUCGGGAAAUACUGUAGACAUCAACAACCAUUCCAAACUUUUAUUGUAAUGUGAAUUGAAAACACAUUUGUUUAACUGAGUGUCAAAAUUGGCAAAAAUUGAAAACAUAAUGUGAAAAUCGCAAAAAUAUGAAAACAUAGUGUCUUUUGUAUCACUGUUUUUCGUUUCUGACACAUCAUCAUGUCACGUCAGUAUUGCAUUGUAACCUGGCCACUUGAAUUGUAACCUGGCCACUUGAAGCUCACCGAACUACCGAUCAUAAUUACAACAAACUGAAAACAUAGUAACAUAAUUGUCACAGAAAAAAAUGUGGUGAAAAUUGAAAAAAAAAAAAAAAAAAAGUUAGUGACUUUUGUGUCAUUUACUCUUAAACUGUGAACAUAUUUAAUCCUUGAUUUGAUUUGAUAAGUUAAAAGUAACCAUUAAUUUAAAACAUAUUUAAAAGAACAUGAAUAACAAAUUAGACUAUUCUGACCAACAAUUUUUCAAGAUUUACAUAAAAAGUAGAAAAGCUACCGAAAUAGUUACAAUUUUCGUACGGCACCACCUGCCAGAAUCAUAUAUUUUUUUACAACUUUAACACUUCAUAACUCUUUCAUUGAAAAUUGUUUGAGCUGAUUUUUUUUCGUUGUGUGGUUUCUAACAAGGGUUAUUCAUGGAUAUGUUACACUCCAUAUUUGGAUGUUCGGAAGUUAUAGUUUUUAGCGUUAAAGUUUUAGCCAAGUUUGAACCUUCAAAACAUUCUUUUAGGAAGUCCGUUUAAGUUGACUUAUUUUUUUAAUUUUUUAAUUUUUAUUCUAUUCUUCAUACAAGGCUUUUCCGUGUACAUAUCACACUUAAAAUUUUGAUGUAAGGAAGUCGCACUUUGAUAACUCUAGAGUAAAAUGAUUGGUGUUUUUUGAAAUGUCCAAAGGUUACCAUUUUUAUGUGGAUAUCAGGAAGUCAUACUUCUAUGCACACCGUAUUCAUAUUAUAUUAUAAAUAUAAGUUUAAAUUAGAAUAUAACACGUAGCCUUAACAUAAAACAUUACAUUAAACACUAUUAUGCAAAAAAGAGUGAUUAUUCUUCCGAAUUACAAAUGCAUACGUAAAUUAUUCAGUUACAUAUAAUGUAACACGACCAAUCAUUCAUUUGGUUAUUCCCAUUAGGUAGGAGGCGUGAGUGGAUUCACCAUUUGAUUUUGGUAUGCAGACUGAUAAACUACACAAGUAAAAUUAUGAUUACCAAUGUGGUCAAUGUGUGACAUGUUUAAUGAUCGGAACAUCUUUAUCGCGUGCUGACAAGAUAUACCACCUUUCAGUUGUUUCCUACAUAUACAACAUAUCAGAGACUAAUUCGCAACAUAAUACAAAAUUCGAGACACUCAUUCAUAAGUUAAUACAAUAUUUCAGACACUUAUUCACAACUUUAAAUAUACAUGAUUUCCAUGAGGCAUUAUAUCACACCUUGUGUUGACCAUGCUUCUAGAUCUUAGAUAAUUUACAACAACAAGAUGAUUUACAUAUAUGUGAUCAUCGAAGUGGGUAUUUGAGUUUAACGGAACUCAAGAGUUGUAUGAUGGAAGUAGUUCAUGGAAUAAGGGUGGUGGUAUGAUGGUGUGGACCACGACGGUCUGAUUCUAGGUGGUGGUUUCUAGAUCUAGAACUUAUUUUCGAUGGUGGUAUUGAGAUAUAAAUUUGAUGGUUGUCGGAGGUUCAAAAUAUGAGACUGUCAUGCAUCAUAGAAUCGUCAGAGAUUCAAGAUUUGAGAUUUUCAUGCUUAUUAGAGUCGUCAGAGGUUCCAUAUAUGAUAUUUUUAUUCUAGAGUAUAGAGUAUGUGAUUUUCUUGAUCCUCGACGAAGUAGAUCUAUAAUAGAAAACCAUGUUAGAGCUCUGAAGUGGUGGUAGAACCAACGUUGGUCGCCAUAAAAUGAACUAUACACUCAAUAUCAAGAUAUAAAAUGCAUUAAAUACAUUAGAUCUGAUGCAAAUAUGGUGGUGUUUUUAGCAAAAAAGAAUGAGAAAGAGAUGAAUGAAAGUUAAGGUAUUUUUCCAGAGCAACGACGAAAACGAAGCAACUUUGGUGGUCGUGAUGACAAUCGUCGGCGAUGACGGUUUACGGUGGAGAUGGAGACGGUGGUAUGUGGCAGAGAAGGUGUGUUCUUGAAGCUUGGUGUUGAUGGGAUAGUUUGAAAGUGCUCAGAAAGAUAAAAAAAAUAAAAGGUUUUGAAUUUUAAAAAAUACCCUUUUUAAUAAACUAACAAAGAAUGGUUCCUAGUGUUCCUGAGUUUUGGAGUUCCCAUUUGAACCACUCCACACACACACACACACACACACACACACACAUAUAUAUAUAUAUAUAUAUAUAUAUAUAUAUAUAUAUAUAUNACUCAAAACCUGGUAAGGAUUUCAAGUAUUGCAACACCCAAAUCGUAGAAGAAGGAGUUUAUUGGAGAAGUGUUGGUUAGCUAGGAGCUUAUAGAUCCAUAUUCUACUAUUAUUCAUCAUCCUCCAGAAGGUAUAAAGUGUCAACCUUUAUGAUUCCUUGCUUAGAUCUACUUUAACUUAGGAUUUUGGCAUGUUUGGUCCCAUAGGUUGAUUCUUGUGAGUAAAAGCUACUCCAGAAGCUUAGGUUAGCAUUUAUUGAUGCUUCAGAGGUCCCUAGUGCAUAAAAAUCGUUUCUUGAUGCAUCUGGUCCAGCCAUGCAUGUCUUGUUGUUCUUAAUAUGAAGUUACGAAGUUAGAGUUUGGUUUUGGGCUUCUUUGAGUCAUGCAAAGGCAUCAAGUUGUCGAAUUUAUCAAUUAAGACCUUCCCAUAAUUAAGAUAUCUUUUUUUGGAAAAAAGGUCUUUAAGCUUUAAGAGCUUAAUAUCAUAUUUAGGUAGCUGAUGAGUUCUCUGGACAUACCCUUUAGGUACUCACGACGUAACGAUUUAGCUCAUGUCCCCUUUCAGUGUUAGUCAAAUACGUUGGGCGUAUGUGUGGUGUACGCAUGGUUAGUUGCGUCCAGAACAUGAAGGGUAAAAGGGUCUUGUAACCUUUAUAAGAGAGAUGAUGAUUUGGACCUUCAUUUGGGGGUUAUUACUCAAAAUAGUGAUUAAGAUUGGUUUGAAUGUGUUUAGUGUGAGGAUUUGUUGUACCAGCAGCUUGUGUUUAAUUAUUUAUCAUCAGAUUGACGUGAGUCUGUUCACUGUACUCGUGGGUCGAAGGCACGAAUGUCGAGCGACUGAUUAUGUUUGUAGGAUGCUAGUUGUCUGUCUGAUAGUUGUAUGUAAUAUAUAUUGGGUAGGUCCCCUUAUGCGAGUUAGGAUGAGGCUCGUCAUACUCAUUAGGCUGGGCCUAUUAUACGAGUUAGGGUGGGGCCCAUUAUGUGUAACACUCUAAAUUUUCAAAUAGAAUUUUCAUUUAUAAUUCCACACAAAACACAAUUUAACAUCUCUCAUAUUCAAUUUAUAAAUGUUUCAAAACCCAAACAUCAAAACAGUUUGUCACGUAUGCUAGAAUCCUCAAAACAUAAAUCAACAAGCUGCGGUGUACAAUCAUGCCCACACCUUCCCGCAAUCCUGAGAUGUACCAGAAACACAUUUCACACAACACUGUAAGCAUAAAGCUUACUGAGUUCCCCAAAAUACAACACACAAAUAAUUAGCCUCUCAUGGCUAUAUUUCGAUAAGGACCCUCCGGUCAUGUGUCUCAGUGAAGACCCUUUGGUCUCAUGACUCGGUUUGGACCCUCUGGUCUGUCACACCCCAAAACCAAGAACGGCGGAAACGUUCUGGGGCGGAGGACGUCAUGUACAGUAUCACAACAAUGAAAAGUACUAAACAAGCAAUAACAUCAUUCUCAUUAAUAGUAUAAUUAUUAUACAUUUGUAAAACAACUGUAACCGUUUGAAAAACCCUAGAAAUCCCUAUGAUUCCUACUAUUAUAUAAAGGGUGUCUUCUACCAAGACCUAAUUGUUCUAAAUGUAGUCUUCUACCAUGACUUAACUGUUCUAAAUGUUCAUUUCUUGUAAAAGUGUGUAAUUUUCCCAAGUGUAACUAUCAUUAACAAAAUAUAGUUUUUACAUUUAAUGUUUAAGUGAAAUGAUCACUAAAUAUAUGAUAAGGGGAAAUUAAUGUAGUACUGUAGUGUUGUAUUAUAGGAACUACUGAUGUACUAACUACCUUAAACCGGAUUUAUAUUAAGGUAUCAUGUGAUUAACUGUAGCAUACUAUCGACUGGUAUCAACGACAAAAGUUAGGUCGUAAAAAGAAAUGACGUUUGGUACCCGCAGACCUGCAGGUCCGGCUGUAGCUAGCAGCAAGGUGUAGGAUAGUCAAUCCAGUAUAGAUCUAUACGCAAACUCACGCUGUCCCUUCAAGAGACUCUGGCAACAACACGGGCCAUGACAUUGAAGUCAUGCUCCGAUUCAGAUCACAAUUCUGUCAAUGUAUAUAUGUAUAUGUAUUGUAUUGUUACUCGUUCUAGUAUCGUUGUAUAUGUUCUCUUUCUAGUAUAGUUGUAUAUGUUCUUCCGCUAGUAUAGUUGUAUAUGUUCUUCCUCUAGUAUAAUUGUAUAUGUUCUUCUCCUCGUAUAGUUGUAUAUGUUCUUCUCCUAGUAUAGUUGUAUAUGUACUCAUAGUAAUGUAAUGUAUAUGUUCUCAUAGUAACGUAUGUUCUCUAUCUAGCAAGUAUUGACUCAUGAAUGAACUGACUCAUUGUAUGAUAUUGCAUUCUAGUAAUAGUUCUAGUAUCUUCCUAAACUACCCAUAUGGUAGUUUACUAGUAAUCUAACUGGUACGUAUGGACAUGGAUGUAUACCCUUGCUACCUAAGGGCAUGGGAAGAAAUGGAAGGGCCUUUCUGACUAUAUAUGUACAUAUGUUAUAUAACUAAUAUUUAAACGACCUUCGGACGAGUACCCGAUAUCCCACCAGAGUGGAUAGUCUUCCUAAGUCUUUUAAGCAUUUCAUAUAUAACUAUACAUAUAGAGGCAUGCAAUUUAUAAUAUAAAAGCAUAAAUAAGUUUUGUAAAACCUUUGAACAUAAUUAUUAUCAUAAGUAAAGAUCGACUUGAUGUCAAUCUAUUAAACGGUUUGAAGGCAUGGGUUUGAUAUAACAGUUUAAGUAUAAGGAAACAUUUGUUUGAAACAAAAUUGUAAAUAAGUUUGAAAUGUAACAUACGGAGUAAAAUGAAUAGUUUAAUAAGGAGUUUUAAACAUAUAAAAUGUUUAUGAAAACAUUUGAAGGAAACUGUUUGGUAAAACAGCUAAUGAGUAGCCAAUCAUUUGAAUGCUGCUUAUUAAUCACAUGUGAUUGAUAUAAUAACUGGCAUAAUUCUACUUGUAUCCCCCAUAAAACAUUUUAAAAUAGUUAAAACAUUGAGUAAUGGGGUAUGAACUCACUUGUAGUAAGUGGAUCGGAAGGAAGUGUUGGAUAAGUGCUUGGUAUCAAGUGAAGACUUAGACACGCACAAAGAUCCUAAUAACAUAUAAGGAUAUAUGUAUAUACACAAUUAGUCUUUAAACAACUAAUAAACAAAGUUAAGACACUCUAGGACAUGCUAAACACUUUAUACAAGUGUUAUAAGUCUCAAGGGUUGCAUCUAAGUGUUGUAGGGAAAGGCUAGUGUGUUUGGGGUUCAAGGGUAAACUCCCUUGGAGUUUACGGUUUUCAUGACCAUUACCCAAGGAGUUUAUGGUAGUAAACUCAACGGUUUAUGUUCGUAAACUCUACACUUUAUGACCAUUUGUUGGUUUGAAGUCUUCUAAGCUAUUCCAAGCAUUCCUACUUCAUGAUUUAGCCUUAGGAAGUGUUGUGUGGCAUCAAAACACUCCUAAAUGGAGUUUACGGUCUAAGGACCAUUUCUCCAUGAGUUUACUACCUUAAACUCCUAAGUUUGGUAUUUGGCGGUUUUCAAGUCCUUAGCUCAAACAUGGCACUAGUCUAGGUUAGAUUCUAGCCAUAAGGAACAACCAUGGGCCAUUUAUGGGACAUUUACACAACAUUUGAGGUGUUUACGGUUUUGGGAGAUCCCCAAACCGUAAACACAUAAAAAUAUAUGAUUUUGGUGCUUUUUGUGUGAUACACUCAUCAAGGAUGGAUCUAGACAAGUCCCUAAGGCAUUGUGAAGCAUCUAGACACCUUAAAGAACCCUAAGGCACUAUAUUUGGUGUUUAUGGUUUUGGGAGCCUCCCAAAACCGUGAACACCUUGUUCUUGGUGUUCUUGGGACUUUUCCUUGGUAUAAACAUGUAUAGCUAGCUUAAAAUGACUCUAGGAUAGAAGUACUUACAUUGUGGAAGCUUAAAAUGAACUUUAAGUCCAAAAACACUAGUGUGUGUUCUUGGUGUUUUGGAAAAAACUAGUCAAAAGACAUAAAUUAAUGGAUUAAAGGAUGUACAAUCACUAGAUUAAGUGAUAUACUAACUUGAAAGGGUUAGAACACUUACUAGUUUGAAGAUCUAGAACAAAAAGUAGGAUGAUAAUUGAGAGAGUUUGGAGUUUACUCUUUUGGAGUUUACUCUUUUAGAAAAUGGGGAGUAAACACAAAUGGCUAGAUUUUGGGGAGUAAAGUCAUACAUAGGUGUGAGUUUACGAUUUUUGGGUGAUUUUUCAACCAAAACAUAAAAGUUUGGUCAGGAAUUUCUAAGCCGCGAGGUGUUUGCGGUUUUUAAAAUUCAAAACCGGAGACGCACUUUCUUUCACCCGUUCAUUUAAAAAUAAUAUUAAAAUAAUCAAACGAACCUUAUAUUUCUUGAAAAUAAGAAAUAAUGACUUUAACUUAUAAUACGAAGUGGUUGACUUUUAAAGUUUGACCGAAUGGAAAUUUUGGGUUGUCACAUCAUCCCCUGUUAAAGGAAAUUUCGUCCCGGAAUUAGAAUUUAGAUAAGGAAGUAGGUAUGAAUGAUCAAGUCGUGAGGAGGAAACUUCCAAAUCGAUUGGUUCUAGCGCUUCUAAGUCAAAUCGGGUCCUCGGUUGGUAUCCCAUCGAACCUUCACUAACGGGCGACUGCGCUGCUUCGUCCGCUUAACCUCUCGGUCGAGGGUCACUACAGUUCUAAUACGAUGGCGAGGAUCUCGACAAGUGCACUUACAAGAGUCCUAACGGAAAGGUAUAGUUUCUAGGUCGAGACGCGAAAAGUAAAAUGUACGUUACCGAGUUUGCGGAGUAGGUCUAGUUUGUGCGAGGUAUAGGACCGAUUCUGGUAAGAAUCUCAGAGGUCCUAUCUAUCUUGGAUUUAGUUUUCCACGCUUUACGAAGCAUAUUAAGCCAUUCCCAGAGUGAGACUUCCUAAAGAACUUGGUCUCUCACUUGGAAUCUCCAAGGUUUCUUUUUCUUGCUAAACUUUCCCAGUCAAGGGCCACCCCUUGCUGGGUGAAAGUCGAAAGGGUUUCUGUAGUUUGCGAAGAGUUCUGAAUGAACUAUGGCAGUAGGUCCAUAAGACCUAGAAUUUGGCGAAUGUCUGUCGGCGUCUCUGGUGUCGAAAAAUUCUCAACGGUUUUGAUAAAUUGAAAGAGUACUAAAAAAAUUCCCACAUCGCUAAUAGUGUGUCUUACGAAACUUUGACUCUUCUAUUCCAAAACUCGUGUUCAGAGAACUUUACGAAAAGUAUCUCCAAGGGUAAUGUUUCUAGGGGUUUCUUCUUACUACGAGGGUAGAUUAGUAAGUCAUUACAUGGAGAAUUGACGAACUGAUCCAAGUAAGAAAGACGGACUCUAAUCAUUAAUCUCAUGAAUACUAUGGGCGUAUUGGUCCUAUCCGAAGGGUAUCACUACAGACUCGAAGUGUUUGCAUCGAGUUUGGAAGAUAGUCUUCUGGACAUCCUUCCCUAACACUCGAACUGGUGAUAUUCGGAUCUCAGACCCAUUUCUGAAACUAAUUCUUUCCUUGUGUUUGCUCAACCAAGUCAUCUAUGCGAGGCAGAGAUAACGAUUUCUACUAGAAAAUCUUGACGGAGUCCUCGAUAGCCAAGGCACAUAUGAUGCAAUCUAUCGAUCUCUGGAAGAAUAUGAUCGGGGUUCUCCAGGGUGAAAAGCCUAGUCUUCUUAUUCUAUCACUAUGUGGUUUGCUAAGUUGUCUACACUGUUCUUGUGUCUCCGUAGGUGUUUAGGCUGUAGGGAAAUCUGUUUACAUGAGUCGUACUGGGUUCUAAGUUUGUUCACAUGACGAUGCGAUUACUUGUAGUCUUGAGCAGUUCUCCAUCCUAAAGUUCAUAUUAGAAUUCAAACAUGGUUUUACAAUCACAAUUUCGUGUAUACGAGUCGUAUAUAAUUAAGAUUGAAAAGGUAGUCGAAUAACUGAUUCUUCUUUAAGCUCACAUCCUUUUGAGGAAAAAGAAGUUAAAGUGGAAUCAUCAAUUCUAAACCUGUAGAACCUUGAUUAUAUAUCACUCUUAUGUAUACACUCCUCAGUGAUAGAUCAACCGCAUGAAUCCUUGGAUUAAACUUGACGUACUGCACGAGUGGUACUUCGGGGAUUUCUUCGGAAAGAAAAGAACUAUGAGGUACUCCAUGCAUGAGUACUUCGGUGUUCUGAAAUGACGGUUUCGCUAAAAAGACGUUUACUGAUAACGAGACGUACAUAUGAAACUGUUUUCAUGAAGAUCAAAUUGAAUCGAGUCGUAUGAUAAUGUCGGAAUCAUACUGAAACUUAAAGACAUUAGAUUUGAACAUAAGACAUUUUACAGACAAAACACAACCAUGCAACCAUCAACAGAGUUACAAUACUUUAGACUUACAACAAGACCAUUGCUGCGAAUAAGGUAUACUACAAAAGACAAUUAUACGCAACGCGAGCAUCCUUAUACUGACAGGAUCUCGCAAAAAGGUAAGACUCUAGUUGCACUAGUUCUGGAUAGUUUAUAAGUCUGUUACAACAACACGCCUAAGUUACAUUAACGAGGGUUCCGGAGUAGGCUCUCCUGCAGCUGUGAUCCUGAGAAUCCUCCCAUCUGUGCCAGAGUUCUUUGUUAUCGGGCAAUCCUUCUUGAGGUGUCCAAUUUCACUGCACUGGUGACAUAUAUAGACAACACCAAUAUUGGUGGUGGAAGUGAAGUGUCGAGUAGGAGUUAUGGGGACGCAGGUUCUUUCCUUGAUUUCCUUUUUCGGGCAAUCUCUUUUAUAGUGCCCAAACUCACCACAAUUAUAGCAAACUAGGCUUGCUCCAGUGGUGGAGGUAGUUCUACAGAUACGAGCAAUGUGCCCCACCUUGUUGCAAUUAUCGCAUUGCAAGGCUCGGCAAAUUCCCUCGUCGUGGUAGUUGCACCUGUCGCACUUCGGGAGAGUUCCUUUAUAUGGUCUGCUCGGUACGGGGAUGGCAGAGGUUUCCACUUGCUGUUGUUGCAUGGCAAGUUUGUGGGAUUUCUUGCGUUCUUUCUGGACUUGAUGCCUUCGUUUCUUGUUCUCUGUCUUUCGGCUUUACGAGCCUGUGACUGUUACUGUUUGGCGAAUUCCUGGAUGGAUACCACGAUUGGAAACUUCAUUCCCAUCAUCAGCAUUGUUUGUGCUGAUAGUGCUAUGGUGCGCAAGGACAGCUGUCACGGCAACCAUCACGGCAGUUGUAACUGUGGUUUGAAAGGUAGCGGCGUCCAUAGGAAAGGCGGAGGUUUCGUUGUUCGACUAAUUGCUUCCGGAUGACGACAUGAUUCUGUAACACGAAAGAUAAGGAUUUUGUGAGCGAUUCUGGUUGACCCUAGAGGUACUUCGAUUGUUCGAGUAAAGAGUAAGACUAUGUUCUCAAAAGUUUGACCUACAUCCCUAUGAUGCAGUCCUAGUACAAAUUGGAAGUAUGAUCGCGAAGGUUUGACCUACAUCCCUAUGAUGCAGUCCUAGUAACGGGUGGAAGUAAGUUCGUAGAAUGGUCUCAAGCCGUUUGUGGUUCAAGCUGAGGUAUUGAUGGUUGGUGAAUAACAUGAUCCAACCACUAAAAGAGACUUCGAAAUGUCUCCGGAAUUAAAUUACUAUAGUCUAAUGACUUGACAAAAGCAUGUUUCAGAUAGACUCCAAUGAAAGGAUGAUAAGAGUACUUGAAUAAAGAAUGACACAGAAGUUACCCGACUGUCAAUAUCUUUGAUAUUCGUGACGUAAAAGUUCUGGAAAAUGACCUUGUAAAGGUCUUACAUCAUAUCCAGAGAAGAUAGUGCUUGACAGCAUAAAGACCUAAGUUAAAGUACUUACAGUACAGGAUAAUUUCAUAGAAAAUUCCACAUCGGGCAUAGACAGAAAAACGGUUCCUUUUAAUAAAGAAAAAUAAAGUAAAGCGUCUACUGCUGGCGACGGUGAUCACUCUGGUGAACUCUCAGUUCAGCCAGUUGACGUUCCAUAUCAAGUAGGUGUCUUUCGUACACCCUCUGGCGUACUCGGAUCUCUAUGACUUUGGCUCGUGAUUCAGCUAGUGCUUGAAGCAGGGUUUCAUGGUUUCUCUUUGAUCCCUCGCGAGCAUCUUCUAGACAAAUGGUGCGGAGGGUAUGCAUUCUCACAUCGGCGACAACCUCAGUGAUCUGAUGUAGGGCUGUCCUGCCUUGAAUCUCAUUUCGGGCCACUCUGCGGACCAAGUUUUUUAGAGUUCUGUCUGACGAGCCCCCAUCGCUUAGGUCAUAAAAGCUUCGGUCACCAUUAAAUGGCAUGGGCUGAUCUUGUCCUUGGCUCCAUGUCUCCAGACAUUCCACCCACUCAGGCAUCGGGCCAUGAAAAGCCAGACGAGGGUUAGGAAUUGCAAAAGGAAGUUGCUUGGGGUAGUUUCUCAACCUCAGGUUCGGAGUUAGCAUCGUCCGAAAGGUUUUCAUCAUGGUCAUCAUUCACGGGGAUAGGAUGAUCAUUCUCUGGUUCUUCUUCAAACCAUCCAGCAAUGACCUGAUUCAGGAGGUACUGGUUGCCGUGGGGAUGGAGUCCAACCGCGUUAUCUAUGCGAGAAUUGGGGUAGGAAAAUAAUUAUUAGACGAACUAUCUAGAUAAUUAUUUAGAAAAUCUUCAUCAGUUACAUCGCUAUUUGUGAAGUGCAUACAAGUUAUAUGAAAUUGAAACAAGAUAGGCCUUCGAAUAAGUGACCAUAACUCCAUAUUCACACAGAAUAGGCGUGAAGUAAAAUUUUCACAGAUUCUGAGUCUAUAACAUCCUAAUUACAUAUAGCCUUAGUUUAUCCACUUAGCAACUAUCAACUUCGUAAUGAAGAUCCCGUUUUAGUUCUCAAGUAUAAAGUACUUAUAGUAACACCAAAUACUCCUAUAGUAUUUUAAGUUUAAUGUUAUGUUCUACUGUUGUCAUUGUGGUAGGGUUGGUAAGAUUUUAGACUUGUUGCAACCACACAACUACACUUAGGCACAUGCUAGUCAACCCUCGGAUAAUAUAGGUGAUCAGGCUAUAUCUUCCCAGUUUUGACCAUAUGUCUCUAAGCCCACUUGUGUUGCCCAACAAUCGUAAUUCUUUUGUACUGUCCUAGUGACACUGAUUUUAGUAUGAAUGCAACACGUAUACUUAAUUAAAUAUUUUACUAUUUAAAGUAUAAACUCUUGGUCAGAGUAUUUUUAAUCCCAUUUGUAUUUAUAGUUAGUAUAUCUUUUAUGGGUUGAUAUACUUAAUUCACUAUAAACAAUGCUCUGAUACCAAUCUGUCACACCCCAAAACCAAGAACGGCGGAAACGUUCUGGGGCGGAGGACGUCAUGUACAGUAUCACAACAAUGAAAAGUAGUAAACAAGCAACAACAUCAUCCAUUGCAUUAAUAAUAUAAUUAUUAUACAAGUGUGUUCUGUCAAAUUUUGAUAAACACUAAAGCAUAAAUCAAAAUGAAAGAUGAGUCUUGAACAAGCUCCAUCUUCUCUAAACCUUGCAUCGGUACCUGUCUAUUGAUGACCUGAGGAUACAAGUAAUUUUGAAAGCGAGUAUCAGCUUUGAAGCUGGUGAGAUCAUAAGUAUUUUAGUGUCUUAAUUUGUAUGUAAGAAUUUGUAAGUAUAUGAACUGUAAGUAUGGAAAAUGUAUAUGAACUGUAAGUAUAAAAAUGUUUUGUAAAACAACUGUAAACGUUUGAAAAACCCUAGAAAUCCCUAUGAUUCCUACUAUUAUAUAAGGGUGUCUUCUACCAAGACCUAACUGUUCUCAAUGUAGUCUUCUACCAAGACUUAACUGUUCUAAAUGUUCGUUUCUUGUAAAAGUGUGUAAUUUUCCCAAGUGUAACUAUCAUUAACAAAAUAUAGUUUUUACAUUUAAUGUUUAAGUGAAAUGAUCACUAAAUAUAUGUAAAGGGGAAAUUAAUGUAGUACUGUAGUGUUGUAUUAUAGGAACUACUGCUGUACUAACUACCUUAAACCGGAUUUAUAUUAAGGUAUCAUGUGAUUAAUUGCACCAUACUAUUGACUGGUAACAACGACAUACGUAUGGUCGUAAAAAGAAAUGACGUUUGGCACCCGCAGACCUGCAGGUCCGGCUGUAGCUAGCAGCAAGGUGUAGGAUAGUCAAUCCAGUAUAGAUCUAUACGCAAACUCACGCUCUCCCUUCGAGAGACUCUGGCAACAACACGGGCCAUGACAUUGAAGUCAUGCUCCGAUUCAUAUCACAAUUCUGUCAAUGUAUAUAUGUAUAUGUACUGUAUUGUUACUCAUUCUGGUAUUGUUGUAUAUGUUCUCUUUCUAGUAUAGUUGUAUCUGUUCUUCCUCUAGUAUAGUUGUAUAUGUUCUUCCUUUAGUAUAGUUGUAUAUGUUCUUCUCCUAGUAUAGUUUUAUAUGUUCUUCUCCUAGUAUAGUUGUAUAUGUACUCACAGUAAUGUAAUGUAUAUGUUCUCAUAGUAAUGUAUGUUCUCUCUAUCUAGCAAGUAUUGACUCAUAAAUGAACUGACUCAUUGUAUGAUAUCGCAUUCUAGUAAUCUAACUGGUACGUAUCAACAUGUAUGUAUAGCCUUGCUACCCAAGGGCAUGAGAUGAACUGGAAGGGCCUUUAUGACUAUAUAUGUACAUAUGUUAUAUAACUACUAUUUAAAAAACCUUCGGACGAGUACCCGAUAUCCCACCCGACCACAUCUCAAGCGCGAAAAGGAAAUAGGGUGGACAGCCUUCCUAAGUCUUUUAAGCAUUUCUUAUAUAACUAUACAUAUAGAGGCAUGCAAUUUAUAAUAUAAAAGCAUAAAUAAGUUUUGUAAAACCUUUGAACAUAAGUAUUAUCUUAAGAAAAGAUCGACUUGAUGUCAAUCUAUAAAACGGUUUGAAGGCAUGUGUUUGAUAAAACAGUUUAAGUAUAAGGAAACAUUUGUUUGAAACACAAUUGUAAAUGAGUUUGAAUGGAAACAUACAGAAUAAAAUGUACAAUUUAAUAAGGAGUUUUAAACAUAAUAAGUGUUUACGAUAAACAUUUGAAGGAAAAUUGUUUGGUAAAACGGCUAAUGAGUAGCCAAUCAUUUGAAUGCUGCUUAUUAAUCACAUGUGAUUGAUAUAAUAAUUAGCAUAAUUCUACUUGUAUCCCCCCCCCAUAAAACAUUUAAAAAUAGUUAAAACAUUGAUUAAUGGGGUAUGAACUCACCUGUAGUAAGUGGAUCGGAAGGAAGUGUUAGAUAAGUGCUUGGUGUCAAGUGAAGACUUAGACACGCACAAAGAUCCUAAUAACAUAUAAGGAUAUAUGUAUAUAAACAAUUAGUCUUUAAACAACUAAUAAACAAAGUUAAGACACUCUAGGACAUGCUAAACACUUUAUACAAGUGUUAUAAGUCUCAAGGGUUGCAUCUAAGUGUUGUAGGGAAAGGCUAGUGUGUUUGGGGUUCAAGGGUAAACUCCCUUGGAGUUUACGGUUUUAUGACCAUUACCCAAGGAGUUUACGGCAGUAAACUCAAGGGUUUACAGUGGUAAACUCUACACUUUGUGAGCAUUUGUUGGUUUGAAGUCUUCUAUGCUAUUCCAAGCAUUUCUACUUCAUGAUUUAGCCUUAGGAAGUGUUGUGUGGCAUCAAAACACUCCUAAAUGGAGUUUACAGUCUAAGGACCAUUUCUACAUGAGUUUACUACCUUAAACUCAUGAGUUUACUACCUUAAAAUCAUGAGUUUACUACCUUAAGCUCCUUAGUUUGGUAUUUGGCGGUUUUCAAGUCCUUAGCUCAAACAUGGCACUAGUCUAGGAUAGAUUCUAGCCAUAAGGAACAACCAUGGGCCAUUUAUGGGACAUUUACACAACAUUUGAGGUGUUUACGGUUUUGGGAGACCCCCAAACCGUUAACACAUAAAAAUAUAUGAUUUUCGUGUUUUUUCUGUGAUACACUCAUCAAAGAUGGAUCUAGACAAGUCCCUAAGGCAUUGUGAAGCAUCUAGACACCCUAAAGCACCCUAAGACACUAUAUUUGGUGUUUACGGUUUUGGGAGCCUCCCAAAACCGUGAACACCUUGUUCUUGGUGUUCUUGGGACUUUUCCUUGGUAUAAACAUGUAUAGCUAGCUUAAAAUGACUCUAGGAUAGAAGUACUUACAUUGUGGAAGCUUGAAAUGAACUUUAAGUCCAAAAACACUAGUGCGUGUUCUUGGUGUUUUGGAAAACACUAGUCAAAACACAAAAUAAUGGAUUAGUGGAUGUACAAUCACUAGAUUAAGUGAUAUACUAACUUGAAAGGGUUAGAACACUUACUAGUUUGAAGAUCUAGAACAAAAACUAGGAUGAUACUUGAGAAAGUUUGGAGUUUACUCUUUUGGAGUUUACUCUUUUAGAAAAUGGGGAGUAAACACAAAUGGCUAGUUUUUGGGGAGUAAACUCAUACAUAGGUAUGAGUUCAUGAUUUUUGGGUGAUUUUUCAACCAAAACAUAAAAGUUUGGUCGGGAAUUUCUAAGACGCGAGGUGUUUGCGGUUUUUAAAAUUCAAAACCCGAGACGACACUUUCUUUCACCCGUUCGUUUAAAAAUAAUAUUAAAAUAAUCAAACGAACCUUAUAUUUCUUGAAAAUAAGAAAUAAUGACUUUAACUUAUGAUACGAAGUGGUUGACUUUCAUCGUCCUAUCUCAAUAAUUGCAUAAAAUAAUAUACAACAUAAAUCACAAAGAUAAAAUGCAUAAUAUCACAUAUCUUAGUAUAUGCACAUAAGACACUCCAGUUAGUAACACAAAUAAGACCUUCCGGUCGCACAGUAAAUACUACUCAAGUAAGUAUAGUGAGAAGACUCACCUCAUAAGUAAAGAAAUUAUGUUUUGUACUCAAACCGUCGGUUAAAACAUCACCUACAUAUAUCACAAUCAUCUCUAAUUAACAAUUUAUUUUAGCAACUCCAAGGAUGUUAAGCUAACUCCUCUACUAAAUCUUAGAAAGGGAAAAAGACCAUUUUACCCCUCCGUGGUCUCCAAAGUCCACAACUAGACUAGACCCUAAAAGUCAACAGAAGUCAACACUCAAGUAAACGGUGCAUGUUGACUCCACUCGUCGAGUGCAUCUAUGCGACUCGUCGAGUUCCUUCUGGCCUCAGAAAAUUGGGAAAAUUCGAGUCAGCUCGCCGAGUUGUCUCAACAACUCGUCGAGUUUGUAUAGUGUCCAGAAUAUCGGCGAAAACCCUAACCAACUCGUCGAGUUCCUUCAGUCCUUUCUUUCAUUCAGACACUUUUAAGUGAGACUGUGACCCCAAACUCUAGAUCUAGCCUUCUAGGGCUGAGAUACCACAUAAAGCUCCAAGCUUUACGUCCAUACAUGUCAUUUAGGGGCUAAAUUGGCCGAAACAAGGCUCAAAAAGGAGGUUUAAGGCAUGAAGAUUGGCCAAAGCUUGAUAAAUCUUGAGUCCUUUGGCCUAAAGGGCCUAAUAGUGUCUAGAUAUGAAGUCUUAGCUUCAAAGCAUGCUCAAAACCAAUGAUGACUCAAGAGGAAGCUAGAUAUGGCCAUAAACUCUCUAAAUGGAGAGAUCUAACAAACAAGUGAUCAAGAUAAUGGAUUUUUACUUUCAAAUGGCUGCUACAGCUGAAUGGAUGUUGGAUCUAUAGACUCCUUCUUGUUCCAAGAUCUUCACUACUUAAGGGAUGUACCAAAACACACUCUCUUAGCCUUACAUACUCUCAAGAUGGAAGGUAACUUGAUUAGGGUUUCUCUCUGGGUGAUAAGGUGAUGAUGGAGGCGGGGGUAAAAGACUGAAUGUCCUUUAAAUAGGGUGCAAUCCUAAAAAAUUUUGGUUUACAUACUCAACUCCAACUCAUCAAGUUGAGUCCACCAACUCGUGGAGUUGGUUCUAAAGUCACGCAACCAAUCUCAGUCUCUACUUGACGAGUUGGGGCCUCUAACUCGUCGUGUUGCCUUAUCAUAAAGAAUAUAAAACAAUUUAAAUUUAUAAAUGGGAUUCGGGAUGUUACAAUUCUCCCCCCGCUAGAAUCAGACUUCGUCCUCGAAGUCAUUCUCUGGAAACAGCUCUGGAAACUACUCACGCAUCUCAGACUCCAACUAAGGAUGAAAGUGGGUCCAAACCCGAACUGAAUGGAACUGGACCCGGAAAACCUGGAACCGAUUAACCGGAUUUUGUUGAACCGGAAACCGGAUCGGUAUAUAGGAACCGGUUCCGGUUCCUUUCCGGGUACGGUUCCGGGUAAAGUGGGUCUAGAACCGGGAACCCAGAAACAUCAAAGUCGGUAGGUUGGAAUCAUAUAAGGUGGGUUUAGAACCGGAAAACCUGGAAAAAACAAAAUUUUUUGGUAAUUACUUAUUACUUAGUGGGUUGAACUUUAAAAAAUUUCAUAUUGAUAUCCCGACUUUGGGGGAUUGUAACUCGUUGAAUAUGAAACCAAAAUUAACAAAAUUAUAGUCUAAAAUCAUGUACAAACUCUAAAAUACACUCUAGAAAAAACCGCUUGUCAAUCCGACUUUAAAAGAAUGUGAUAUGCAUGUGUUAACAUUUUCACAUAAUACAAAAUACAAAAACAAAUAGUUGAAAAGUUGAAAUUUUCAAUUUUGAUAUCCCAACUUCGAAGGACUGUAAAUCAUUGAAUGUUAAACCAAAAAUGACAAAAUUAUAGUCUAAACUCAUGUACAAAAUGUAAAAUACAAGUUGGAAAAAACCAUAUGUCAAUCCGACUUCAAACGAAUUAGAUAUGCAUGUCUUAAAACUUUCACCGAAUACAAAAAAAUUGAAAAAUUAAAAACAUCCAGCUUUGAUAUAUCGACUUUGGGGGACUGUAAGUAAAUGAAUAUAAAACUAAAAAUGACAAAUUUAUAGUCUAAAAUCAUGUACAUACUCUAAAUUACAUGUUGAAAAAAUAUGUAUGUCAAUCGGAGUUGAAAUGAAUGAGAUAUGCAUCCUUUAAACGUUUCACAAAAAAACGGUUCCUGCCAUAAAAGUGGUUCCGCUUCCAAACAUCGGUUCCGGUUUUAGACCCGGUUUACACAGACACGAUGGACACAAACCUGAAUAAAGGCAAUUUUUAAUCCUAUAACCAGAAACAACUCUAUAUAUUCUGGUUCUAACGGUUCCAGUUCCGGUCCGGUUUUCCGGUUCUAAAUCUCAUCCCUAACUCCGGCUCCCAAGUCCACUUGGAUCCCCUCCGAUGUUGCCACUGAACAUUAACCAAGGGCACCUCCUUAUUUCUCAAAAUCUUCCCCUUCUUAUCCGAAAUAUCCACCGGCUUCUCAAUAGAGUUCAGACGAUCAUCAACCUGAAUAUCCUCUAAAAAUACCACUGUCGUGUCGUCGGCUACACGCUUCGUCAGCUUGGCUACAUGGAAAGAGUUAUGAAUCUGGCUCAGCUCUACAUGCAACUCUAACCGAUAAGCUACCUUACCUACUCGAGUAAUCACUCUGAAAUGACAAAUGUAUCUAGGGCCUAGGUUGCCCCAUUUCCUGAAUCGAAUCACCGCUUUCCAACAGCAGGAAAAAUCACCGACCUAGAACUGUAGCUCGAAACUUCUCCGAUCCGCAUACCUCUUCUGACGAAUCUGGUGAGUAUGCAAACUCUGUCUAACAUGCUGGAUCUAUUCUAUCGUCUUGAGAUCUAUCUCAGUGCUCCCCAUCACUCUUUGCCCGACCUCCCCCCCCCCCAACAGAUGGUCGUCCGACACCUCCUCCUGUAUAAAAGCUCAAAGGGAGGCAUCCUAAUACUGGAGUGAUGGUUGUUAUUGUAUGAAUACUCAACCAAGGGCAGUUAGGAGUCCCAACUCCCACCGAAAUCCAUGACACAUGCACAUAUCAUGUCCUUGAGUAUCUAAAUCGUCCGCUCGCUCGCUCUGCCUAUCUGUCUGCGGGUGGUAUACGGUGUUAAAUGUAGCUGGGUACCCAACCCCUCGUGAAAUUUCUUCUUGAACCUGGAAGUAAAACGCACAUCACGAUCUGACACUAUCGAAAUUGGCACUCCGUUCCCUGCCACUACCUCUCGAACGUAGAUAUUGACCAAUUUCUCCGUAGAAGAGUUCUCACUUAUAGCCAGAAAGUGACCACUCUUCGUAAACCGAUCCACAAUCAUGUUGGGUUAUGAGCAUUCUAACACUCCUAAGUGUACAUGCAACCCUAAAUACCUUGGAUCUAUGUUUUCUCUAUUAUACAUGCAAAUAAGAACUUCCAAGGUAUUAUCCUAAUCUAGCAUACAAAAUAAUGAAUAUAACAAGAUAGAAUACAUACCUCUUUGAUGUAGAAUGUCUUCAUGAAGCUUGAGUGCCUAGUGCCUCAAGUGUGACACCUCAAAUGGUUCACACAACACCAAAUACACUAGGAAUAAAUUGAGAGAAACUUCAACACUCCUAAAAUCGACUAGCCCUUUCUUAUUAUUCAUAGUAUCCGAUUUUUCCCAAAGAAUAUGAUCUUAUAUAGUUGUUACAAUUAGGGUAAACCCUAAUUGUUGUGGCUUUCCAUUUACUUGGAUCCAUGGGUUCAAAUACACCAUGGAGCAUCCAUGGACCAUCCUAUGGGUUUAGCCUAACUUGAUUAUCCAUGGAGCAUUAGCCCAUUAUACAAUUACGGAUGAUUUACACAAUCAACCCAUAUAUUUAAUUAGUCUUCUUUUGAUCACUUAAUUAAUUCUAGAUUAAUUCUUGAUCAAUACUAAUUAAAUAAUCCUAUCAAUAUAUUAGAACUUAUAAUAUAUUAAUCAACCUUAAGUGUUACUUGUCUCAUUGCAGUCUAUCCAAGUGCAUGAUGCCAUGUAACCCAAAUGGACCAUGUCGGGUCGAGUCAAGUCUUACCAAUUAUAGUUAUGGACUUAGACAUUAAUCCAACAGUCUCCCACUUGGAUAAGUCUAAAACUAUUAUUGCGAAUGACUUCAAGAACCGACCGACAAUCGUAGCUCUCAAAAGCUUAUGUCGAACUCUAACCUUGUCGAUGAUCUCUGACCUUUGUCGAUGACUUGUCCAUUAGAUAAGUGAUCUUUACAUUCCUCCAUUCUAGAUAUCAUAUGGACUGAGACAAGGAUUAUAAAUCAUUUUCUCUGUCCAUCUGUUGUUUCCGGAUUUCAAAUUCAUGAUGACUGAAUGAUUGAGCAAAUCAAAUCAGUCAUGGCCUGGCCAAGCACUCACAUAUAUCAUCAUUAAAUCAUCGAGGGGCCCACAGAUAUUGCUUUUAUCCUGAAGGUAAAAGGAAUGGAUAAACUUCAACUCAUAUGGCUUGUUGUACUACUUGUUGAAUCAUACACAAAGGCACGUUUUAUUACAUUGAGUUACCAAUGCAUUUUCGUGCAAUCAAUGUACAACCAACUCAUAGUAACAACUCAUAUCUCUAGGUUUGAAGAAUAUAAGAUAUUAUCGUCUCAUGAUCACUCGUGAUAAAAUCCAUGAAGUGAUUCAAAUGAGCGCGGGUUGAAUCCAAUACUCAUAACUUAUGAGCACUCAUGAGUGUUGUAGCCCUUUGUCCAACAUCUUAGACCUCUACAAGCCAACUCGUGACAGUCUUGAUUCAUAUCUAC